rnacentral:lncRNA from 1 species
AAUGGUUGGGUGCGAGACAUUCGACGAUAUAUAUCUCUACCACUAUAGUACAACAAUUUUUGAAUUUGGGUAGCCAUCCGCAGCAGUGUAGAGGCAAUCUGGUAGCCGUUGAUUUGCUACGCAGGGUAAAUCGCCAUCCUUCAUUAGCACCGAACUUUAAUGAUCCAACGGUUGAUGUUUCUUGGAUUCGCGCUUGUACGAACGCACGCCAAAACGCUCCCAACCUGAAUCUUUCCAGAGUCGUCACGGCGCGCUACAUGCCUGCACCCAGCGGUCUGGUGCUGUUGAAAAGGAAAUUCCUUUCAUCUACGAGCAGUUUUUACAUGUCAAAUCACUCACAAGCAACACAAUAGCAAUAUAUAUAUAUAUAUAUAUAUAUAUAUAUAUAUAUAUAUAUAUAGGUAAAUUGUUUGGGGCACCUAGGUGCCUGGGCACCUAGCUUCCUCUAACCCAUUAGUGUGAGCUAUACCCGCUAGUGCAUGGUGUGCAUAACACGGUCAGAUUGCUUUCCAAAAGAGAAUUUGCAUGUUCUUUCCUCCUAUUAAUGAAUUCCUUCCCAAAUAUAUUUCUACAAUAUUCUAUUCAUAUAUGUAUGCACCAUACUAUCUAGUCAACCAUACGGUGUAACAUGCCUUCAGAACACUAACUUGACAUUUUAUACUUCUUGUUGUAACAUUGUUUUUUCGCCAUUAGAUAUUUAGGUAUCGUAUACCCAAACGACAUGACAUAUGGCCUACGUACUAUUCUGGGUCUGAAGUCUAUAUGCAGCUACCUUAUAAAACAAGCAGUAAUCCGAAAUCUAGGUAUAUACCUAGGUGACUUAAAAUAAAUACAAUAUAUGUAAAACAACUAAUUGGCACGCCUAAAAAAUGAUGUAGCAAAAAAUUACGUUAGUUUGAAUUAGACAGAGCGGCAUAAUUAGAAAUGAUAUAGCCAGCAUCUACUUAUUAUAUCCAGGGGACUAAUACUCAUUUUUUUCGAGUAUAUACCCAGCUAUGCAAAAAAAGGUAGGAAAAUAUUGUAUACACCCGGUGGACAUAUGUAACGGCUAUGUGAAAAAAGAUAGGAAAAUAUUAUACAUAGCUGGGUAUGUAAAAAUAUUAUAGAUAGGAAAAUAUUAUACAUACCCGAUUGACGUACAUAUCGGCUAUGUGAAAAAAUUUAGGAAAAUGUUGUACAUCCAAUAAUAUACGUCAAGUGAAAAUAUACCUAAUGUGUUUGCGUACUUAUAUAACCAGUUGUGUGAAAAUUGGUUGGAAAAAAUUGUAUAUAAUCAGUCGCCGUAUGUACCUAAAAUAAAAUAUUGCUAUGUAUAUACCUGACAACGUGAGGUAUCUAAUACGGGUAUCAAAUAUAUACCCAAUAUAUUUUAAGUACAUAAACAUACCUAAGAUGUUUUACAGGUCAUGUAUUAGAUACUCGUAUGUAGAAUAGUCAUGUACUAAUACCUACGUACAUUAAAUCUUGCUUCUCUCUCCUAUUAACAUGCAUGACACUGGUGGAAAAACAGGCUUCCGUCCAAGCCCCAUAAGUCGCGAAGCUGUAGGAACCGCGACUAAUGGGACCUUUAGUCGCGGUUCUGGAGGUGAACCGCGACCAAAGGCCUGGGCCCAGGGCGCUCGGUGGCCAGCUGGCGCACGUGAGGGUCUUUAGUCGCGGUUGGCCAGGACAACCGCGACUAAAGGCCUUCGGGCACCUUUAGUCACGGUUUGCCAGGCCAACCGCAACUAAAGCCCCUCCCCUUUAGUCGCGGUUGGCCUGCCCAACCGCGACUAAAGGUGGUUGCGCGCGGGAACGAAAAACCCGCCAAAAAAGUCCUUUAGUCGCGGGUCACCUCCCCAACCGCGACUAAAGGUUACCCUUUAGUCGCGGGUCGCCUCCCCGACCGCGACUAAAGGUUCUCCUUUAGUCGCGGGUCGCCUCCCCAACCGCGACUAAAGGCCCUUUAGUCGCGGGUCGCCUCCCNNNNNNNNNNNNNNNNNNNNNNNNNNNNNNNNNNNNNNNNNNNNNNNNNNNNNNNNNNNNNNNNNNNNNNNNNNNNNNNNNNNNNNNNNNNNNNNNNNNNNNNNNNNNNNNNNNNNNNNNNNNNNNNNNNNNNNNNNNNNNNNNNNNNNNNNNNNNNNNNNNNNNNNNNNNNNNNNNNNNNNNNNNNNNNNNNNNNNNNNNNNNNNNNNNNNNNNNNNNNNNNNNNNNNNNNNNNNNNNNNNNNNNNNNNNNNNNNNNNNNNNNNNNNNNNNNNNNNNNNNNNNNNNNNNNNNNNNNNNNNNNNNNNNNNNNNNNNNNNNNNNNNNNNNNNNNNNNNNNNNNNNNNNNNNNNNNNNNNNNNNNNNNNNNNNNNNNNNNNNNNNNNNNNNNNNNNNNNNNNNNNNNNNNNNNNNNNNNNNNNNNNNNNNNNNNNNNNNNNNNNNNNNNNNNNNNNNNNNNNNNNNNNNNNNNNNNNNNNNNNNNNNNNNNNNNNNNNNNNNNNNNNNNNNNNNNNNNNNNNNNNNNNNNNNNNNNNNNNNNNNNNNNNNNNNNNNNNNNNNNNNNNNNNNNNNNNNNNNNNNNNNNNNNNNNNNNNNNNNNNNNNNNNNNNNNNAAAUUGUAUAUGGUCAUCCGAUGAUAUUGAAUAUAUAUUUUAUAUUCCUCUUGAAUUCUUUUUUGUUCUAAUUUCAAAUUUAUUUGAAAUUGUACAUUCAUAUGCAUGUAUGUAGUACCGUAGAAUAUAUGAAACUCCUUCAAAAUUAAAAUAAAGCACAAAAGAAAUAAAACAAUACAAAUUAAACAGAAAACAGGUUUAAGGGGGGGGGGGGCUAAAACUCUAAACCUGCGGCGGCCUUUAGUCGCGGUUGGCCAGAAGAACCGCGACUAAAGGUCCUCCGCCCAGACGGCCACCUGGCGCCCACGUGGACGGGCCUUUAGUCGCGGUUCUUAAGCAACCGCGACUAAAGGGGGGGCCUUUAGUCGCGCCCGUUCGGUCGCGGUUGCGCAACCGCGACUAAUGGCAGUUGCGAACCGCGACCAAAGGCCCUUUUUCCACCAGUGCUGGCUGCAGCUGGCCGCUGGACAUGGGCGCGGCGGAGAGUUCGAGAGUAUCCAGCUCAUGGGCAAACUAGAAGGUCGUGUCAAGUAGUCCAAGGCUGGCAUCAUGGUGCUACUUUCUGGCCUUCUCCCUAAUCCCAAGCUGGAGAUGGCCGUGCUCUCCAUCUGGUACUACUCCAGUCUCCAGUAUAUAUUAUGUGUGCAUGUUAAUUGCUUCUGAUCUUUUUUGACUUCUUUUGACCUAGCUUGAACNNNNNNNNNNUAGUCGCGGUUCUUAAGCAACCGCGACUAAAGGGGGGGGGGGCUUUAGUCGCGCCCGUUCGGUCGCGGUUGCGCAACCGCGACUAAUGGCAGUUGCGAACCGCGACCAAAGGCCCUUUUUCCACCAGUGUGAAUCUGGUCAUCCGGUAGAAUAUAAAUUAAAUAAGGACCUCAAUUAUGUUUCCCGAAAAAAUGCUACUAAUUGAUUAUCUCUUAAUUACACUUUCCAUUUCAGCAUUGCCGUGCAAAAAGGAAUUGGCAGGUAAUCAACGUACACUUUCCAACCGAGAUAUGCAUGCAUGAUAUUUUGGAAUGUACUUCAAUGACGUACGUGGGUAUGCACAUGCCACCUAAUUAUGGAAAGUACAUUAUAACCGGUGGAGGUAUGCUGUUAACGGGUGAAACCCGAUAAUCAAUCUGUCCAUCUCAUAAGCAAAGGAUCUAACGGCAUCUAGACAAGGUGCCUGGGCACCUAGGUGUCCCAUAUAUUGGUUCUACGAGAAAUUUUAUUUAUAUAUAUGCAUAAAGUGUAUAAUAUAUAAUAUGGUAAAAUACCAGUAAACGAAAAAGAAUUAAAUGGAAAAUACAAAAUUACAGGAAAAAGAAAUCAUGAACCCAAAACCCCCAAACCUUUAGUGGCGGUUAAAACAAUUGGCUACAUGGAGUUUCCAUGUCACAUAUAACCAACUUAAUAGCUACCAUGUAUAGUAGUAGCUAGUUACUAGGAAGUACUACCUCCCUUUCAAAAUAUAAGGUGUAUACGGUUUUUGUUCAGUCAAACAUGUGCACUUUUGACCAAGUUUUUAGGGAAAAGUAUCAAUCUCUACAAUACAUAAUUUGUAUCAUUAGACCCAUCAUGAAUAGUAUUUUUUAUAUUUUAUUUAUCUUAUAUUAUAGAUGUUGAUAUUUUACUCUAUAAUUUUAGUCAAACAUACAUAAGUUUGACUAGCAUGAAAUUUGAUGCACCCUAUAUUCUUGAACGGAGGAAGUACUACUUUAUUAAUACAUGGCCCAACAAGCCUACAGUUAAUCUACAACCCGCUUUUCUUCUUUCUCCUCUUAUGUCUCGUCCAACUCAAUAGAAAUAUAAUAAUUUAAUCUUUACAACCUGCUUACACCACCUUACUGUACUUGCUCGAAGCAGAGUCCAACGAAAAUUUAAGAUUGCCAUCUUGUGGCUCGAGGCCAACUCGGGGGGCGAUAUUUUUCUAACUUUUUAAAAUAAAUAUGCGUGUCUAGUAUACUAUGUGUUAAUUUUUGUUGAAAAUAUUAAUAUUUUAUAGAAAAUAAUUUUCAAUAAUAUGCAAGCAAUUAAAUAUUAGACUGGAUUUUCUUCUUCUUUAGUUUGCCAUGAACCUUUUUCUACACUUCACAUACAAUAUUACAUCUUAUAUGUCCCCAUUUGGCAUCGUUUCAUCUUCGUUUAAUAUAUAAACCAUUAAGUGUGUUUAUUGUCGUUUAGCAUAUAUAAUUCAUAUUGGAACUGCAACUACACAAAAUAAUGGACAAGAAUAGCUUGCAUUCUUUUAUUUGUGUAACUAAAUAUGUAUUUAGGCCUUAUCCAGGAAAAUAAAACUUAUUCCAAACAUCAUGGCGCCAAAGAGUGGACCACCAAAAUGAUGCUUAUUUGUUUUUAAAUUUUAUGAAUGCAAAGUAAUCUAUACCUAAUAUUAAAAGACGGAGGCUUUCAUAGUUUUCCAUACGUCAUACCUUUAUAUCCGUUGACUUUAUAUUAACCAUAGAUAUCGAACGGCUGAGAUUUAAUAAAAAAAUCGUUCUCUUUCCGUCACCAAACUUUUGGUCCGGUUGCCCCAAGUAUGCCAGUUCCUCCAAUGCGUACGACUUCUAUUCCCUUAAAAAAAUGCAUACGACUUCUAUUUCCUCAAAAACAAAUGUGUACGACUCCUACAUGCAGCAUCACUAACACACNNNNNNNNNNNNNNNNNNNNNNNNNNNNNNNNNNNNNNNNNNNNNNNNNNNNNNNNNNNNNNNNNNNNNNNNNNNNNNNNNNNNNNNNNNNNNNNNNNNNNNNNNNNNNNNNNNNNNNNNNNNNNNNNNNNNNNNNNNNNNNNNNNNNNNNNNNNNNNNNNNNNNNNNNNNNNNNNNNNNNNNNNNNNNNNNNNNNNNNNNNNNNNNNNNNNNNNNNNNNNNNNNNNNNNNNNNNNNNNNNNNNNNNNNNNNNNNNNNNNNNNNNNNNNNNNNNNNNNNNNNNNNNNNNNNNNNNNNNNNNNNNNNNNNNNNNNNNNNNNNNNNNNNNNNNNNNNNNNNNNNNNNNNNNNNNNNNNNNNNNNNNNNNNNNNNNNNNNNNNNNNNNNNNNNNNNNNNNNNNNNNCCAAUCUUUUCUGACGCCAUCCCAAACCUCCUCAACCUCCAACUUCCUGCUAAUCGGAGCCCGUGUUCCAGUUCCAGCAUGACAACUACUUCAACACGAAUCCAUGAGGUAUCCAGUCUGGAUUUCACAGGGAAUUCGGUGCCAUAGAAGGAAGCCCUUGACCAAAAGCCUUCGACCAAAAUUUCUGUUAAAUCGCGCCGCACUGCCGAUCCAGCCUCUCCUCUGUGUGCUGCCCUCGAUCCCCUUCUCUGUGCACAGCUCAAUGGCUAGCCGUGCUGGACGAAGUGGAGGCGUCGGGGCGUCGGGAUUUAGGUUGAGCAAUCGCGCGUGAGGCUCGGCCUUGCCCGACACACUCGCCACUAAGUGUAGGUCGAGGGAGGCACGACGGAGGCAGCAGGAGCGCCGACCGGACGGCUGGAUACGGUGCUCGACGCGAGGGGCUGCACGGCUCACAGGAGCAGCGCCUUCCACGGCCGGCCCUCGGCUGUGGGACAUUGGUUUCGGUGGUGCGUUCACACGUUGGUGUGAUUUCUCCUUGUAAUAACUCUGGGAGAUCGCCUUCCAUCUCCGCGAUGACGGCAAGCUACGUCCGUCCGACGCCGAGGUACCCAGGAGAAAUGGAUGGCCGACGAGUAGACCACAGCAAACGUCCAGGUGAUUCUCCUGACCACGGCGAGGUAUGAUGCGAUUAAGAGAGGUAGACACGACAGUAGCAGAGUUGAUCAGGUACAAGCAGCUUUGCAACCGUGUACAUAAGUUAUCUCCAGAAUCUGCUACAGGUAGGCUGUCUUCCUACUCUUCUCCUGAGAAUUAUCUAUUGAGUGUAGUAUAAAGCUUGCUGGUGUUUUGAGCUGAAAGAAAGGAAAAUAUGAACAAUAUGCUUUUCUGCACUGCUUCAUCCUAGCGGCUGAGAGAUGUGUUUGUUCUCCUGUGAAGAGUGAACAAAUUGUUUUCAUUGGCUUGAUAUUUUAUUUAUGACAGCUAAUUUGCAGGCCAUAGAAGCAUUAGACGUAAUCUGUCAGCACAGGACCAGGACCACGUGGAUUGGAUUUUGGUAUAUCUCAAUGGAUCAUGCUUUUCUUUUUUCCAUGUUACUUGGUGUUACAUUUUGUUUCUUGCCUUACCAUCAUUUUGUUUUGAUAUGUCCUAGGUUUAUGAAAUACUCCCUCCGUCCGAAAAUACUUGUCAUCAAAAUAGAUAAAAAGAGAUGUAUCUAGAACUAAAAUAUGUCUAGAUACAUCCCCUUUUAUCCAUUUUGAUGACAAGUAUUUCCGGACGGAGGGAGUACUAGAUAAUGUUGUUGAUGAAGAUCAAGCAAGCUAUGCUACUGAGAUUAAUGUCUUCGUGGUGACAACUCAGUUAGUGUCACUGACAAUGGCCAUGGGGUCUGCAGUUCCUAAAACCCAUGAAAAACUUCCUGAAGGUUCAAUGCUUGUACAAAUAUUGUGAAUAAUGUAACUGUUAUGAGUUCAGUUUUGUGCUGCCGCACGGUGUCGAACACCCUGAGCAUGGUGAUUUCUGGGUCUAUGGCAUGGUAGAUGUGUGGGACCGUGGCUGCGAGCUCGGCCAUCGAGCACUGACGGCGACGCCUCUCCUCGGGCACAAUGCUAUGCAUGAGCACAGUGCGGCAGCAAUUUUCAGAGUCAUUGACCCGUCGAGGAUUAGUGUUAGUGUUGGUAUUUUUGUUUUUAUGAUGUGUGAAAUUUAGAGGAUCCGAAGGACCGCGGCUGCGAAUUAGUGUUCACUCACACAUGGCCCAUGUGUUAAACCAAUCGGCUGUUCGUUGGAAAGUCAUACAAAAUCUGAGUGGAUUGGUGGCCAUUUCCAGCCUUCAUGUGUAUCUCCUGUUAUACAUCUCCACUCUGUUCCUCUUUGCUCUGUUUUUCAGGAAAAAGUUGAUUGGUGGCCAUUUCCAGUAUGGAGAUGGGAUGGCAUUGGCUGUUCCUUGGUUGAAGGAUGCAAUGCAUCUCGCGGAAUUCCAAGUUGUACAUUUUUUGUUCUGCCUAAAUACCCAGGCAUGGGAGAUGAAAUCUUCAAGUUGCGUAGAAAUCAAGGCAUGAUUCUUGGUAAUAUUCUUUACUUGGUACUUGAUGAUUACUCUUUACUUGGUACAAGGUACUUGAUAAUUUUAAUAUAGUCUGACCCUGCUGUAGAUAGCAGUUUACAUACAUGCCGGAUGUGUUGCAUUGCAGUGUGUUUAAUAGAUGGCCGUGAAGGGCGACUAAAAGUAGUCCAUCUUCACAUCAAGUUUCUGGAAUUCCAGGGAUCGAAAUCGAGAUGCAUCUUCUUGAAUUUCAGGGAUCGAAAUCGAUACAGAUAGAAAAUUGGCUCAAUGAAAGUUUGUAGUAUCUGUAUACUCUUGGUUGGCAUAUAAAUCCUGGCUCUCCUAAUACUUUAUUCCCAUGGAGAAUAGCUAAUUCCUGCAUAAUCUGGUAGUGCACACAACAGUUAGGAAAGGAAACUAUAAGUUAUGUAUAGUAAUAUGUUCAUGUGUAUUGCUUAGAUCUAACAUGCAAUCUAUACAUGACAGUUUUGACUCAUGUACUCAUGUGACCAUUUUUGUACAAUCAUCUUUCAACAGAAUUACUGCUAAAGUGUUCAUCUUGGCUACUUCUGAACUUCUGCACAAACUAAAUGGUGGAGUAUGGCCACUACUAGCCACAUGAUAAAAUGUGGUGGUCUUAAAUUGUCUUUUGGUUUAGUCUCUUCUAUUUUCUUGUGCUGUGCAUAAAUCUAUGAGCCUUAUGUCUCAAUAAAAUAAAAUGCAUGAGAAUAGGAUUGAAAAUCAAAGGUACUUAUGUGGGAUGUGAGUCUGCUUGAAACUGGAGUAUACCAAUCAAAAUUUUGCUUUUUGAUACGUGAAGAAAAUAGGCUACGUGAGAGUGUUUGGUCUUUUUUGCAUCACCAGGCCAGUCGCGACGCUCAGACAAAUGUAUCAUAUUUUGGUCUGGCAUCAAAAGUCUAAACAUACAAGUGUUACAGUUCUUUAUAGGGUUAAUUAUCCUUUUGCCCUCAGUGGUGUCCAUGUGCUCAGUUUUGCCCUUAGAUGCAAAUUGUCCUCAGUUUUGCCCCUAGUCCGAGCACAGCAACUACGACGAGGCCAAACGGCCAUAUUUGAGUCCAUUCCGUCCGCCGGCGUUAGUAGUUGUGGGUCCGGAGCUUACACGUGGGACCACGUGGACGUGGGUCCGGAGCUGACAUGUAGGCCCCUGCAACUAAAUCCCCAAAUCAUUCUAGCUCACACCCAUCCGCCAGGCCGGCUGUCCUGCGCCGCCGCCGCCGCCACCUGCGCCGCGGCCAGCACCUGCCCCGCCACCAGUUGCACGGCCUGCUCCGCCGCUACCUCCCUGCGCCUACGCUCCACGGCUCAUUGUGACGCCCACCACCUUCCUGCGACGCCACGGGUGGGGCGCCCGCCACCUGCUCGAUUCGCGGCGCGGCCUCCUUCCGUGCGCCCGGCCGGAGCGCUCAAAGGUGGGGGGCUGCUGGAGCUAUUUGAACUAGGAGGAAGAACCCUAGAGCGAAAUGGUGAGCAGCGGCGACCCCGGAGUAUUUGGCGAGGCAGGCAUCGGGCCGGAGAUCCGCCGCAUCCACGACUGGGUUCCCGAGGGGUAAGUCUCGCCUCUUGUUUAGAUUGAGCUUAGUUGUGCAUUUGAACACUCGAUUCGAGUAGGUUUGCCCAAUUAGUGUGCUGAUUGCGUCUCUGUUUUUCGCCGGUUAGGAUGGAGUUGCGGUUUGCUUUCAUGGUGCACAUUAGAAGGGACCGGUACAUGUUCGAUGCAAAGGAUAAGAAGAAAUACCAAGGAGGUUUUGAUUAUCGGUUGCCAAUGGCUAGUAAUUGGAGUUUCAGACAAUUUGGGGAGGUAAUUUGUAGCCAAUAUCCUUGGGGUUUGCUUGAUGAAGUGGUAUACAAAUACUAUGAUGGGGAAAAGAAUUGGGUGACAGUUAGUAAUGAUGAAGAGCUAGCUACCAUGUUUGUUAGGCAUAAAGAGAAAGAUAAUUUUCAUGUGAGGCUGCAAGUUGAUGUGCUUGAGCAGGCAUUUGGACCUAGGAUGGCGGGUGCAACAUCUCGGGGAGAAUCAAGUCGUCAUAAUGGCAUCUCUAGCCAGAACAGUUCAGUUGGUGCACGGCGACGCGGUGGCUCGACAAGUGUGGGCAACAGCAGUAGGGUCCCCCUUGAAGUGGAGCCUGAUGGCUACAAUUCUGGGGUUGAUGAAGAGAAGUUAUAUUCUGAUGUUAUUCAGAAUUUACGACGGACACCUCGGGCUGAAAACCAAGAUGAGGCUCACAAUGCAGUCCGUGUGGAUGAUGACGCGAUGGGUGAGGACGAAGACCUUGCAGCUGUUGAAUGGGACCCUUUGAACCCUCAAAUGGAAGAAGGUACAGUUUCUGCAUCCAUGAAUAAGUGUAGAAAUGCACUUGUGACAUACUGCAUCAAGGUAGAACGUACUUUUAAAGUUGACAAGAGCGAUCAAGUACGUUACAGAGUGCACUGUCCGACUGAGGGUUGUCCAUGGAGGCUGCUUGCAGCUAAAAUGCGGAAUAGCACUAAUGUUCAGGUCAAAGUGAAUCCUUUUAAGCACACAUGCCAGGAAUCAACCCUUAGGAAGGAUACAAUCAGUAGAGCCAAGUCAAGAUGGGUGGCAGAAGAAGUAAAAAAGUGGGUGAAAGAAAACCAGCAAGUGGGUCCAAAGGAAUUGUAGAAGAACAUCAAAGAUAAGUUCAAGAUAGAUUUACCAUACAUGAGGUUGUUCAAUGGUAAACAACAUGCUAUGGAUUCUAUUUAUGGUAACUGGCAGGAAAGUUUUCAAUUGUUGUAUUCAUUUAAGGGUGAAGUGGAGAGGACAAGCCCAUGUAGUAUUGUAGAUAUUGAUCACCACACCGUGGAGUACACAUUCAGGGGAGUGACAAAGACCAAGGAAUGCUUUAGAAGGGUUUUUGUCUUCUUUGAGGCUUGUCGCCGGGGUUUUUUGGCAGGCUGCAGGCCUUAUUUGGCUAUUGAUGCCACUUUUCUCAUAGGAAGGUUUAAAGGACAGUUAGUAGCAGCUUGUGCAGUUGAUGCACAUAGUUUUGUAUUUCCAGUUGCCUAUGGUGUGCUGGAGACAGAGUCUGAGGAGAGCUGGACUUGGUUUUUGCAUAAUCUCCGCCGGGCUAUUGCACAUCCCAAUGGGUUGGUCAUUCAUACAGAUGCCUGCAAAGGUUUAGAAGUGGCCGUGGACAAUGUGUUCCCUGGAGUAGAGCAUAGGGAAUGCAUGCGUCACCUUGCUGCAAAUUUCAUGAAGAAAUUCAAAGGAAAGGUGUAUACCAACAAUUUAUGGCCAGCAUCUUUGACAUGCAGUGUGAAGAAGCACAACUACCACUUGAGGCAGUUAUACAUGAAUCCCAAAGUGAAAGAAUACUUGGAAACACACCACUCCAAGUUAUGGGCCAGAAGCCAAUUCAGUGAAGUGAGCAAAGUUGACUAUGUGCACAGUAAUCUAGCAGAGUCUUUCAACUCAACGAUCCGGAAACUAAAGGGUCAUUAUGUGGUGGAUUUGCUUGACAGGAUAAGGAUAGAAUACAUGCAGAAAUUUCAUUAUUGUGUAGGAAUAGCCGAGGCAAAAUUCAUGGGCCACAUUAUCAUCCCUGCCGUGAUGAAUGAACUGAAGCAGAAGACAAUAGGCUUGGAAAUGAACAUGACGCUUUGCUCGGGUACCACAACAGAGAUAUCAUAUUUGGAUAAAGAGAAGAGGGAAUGGAGAUAUCCAGUGGAUUUAGAAGCUAGAACUUGCAGUUGUAGGCAAUGGCAGAUAACUGGGUUGCCAUGCAUUCAUGCCUUGUUUUUCAUCACUUCUCUCCCAGGUCCAGCAGGGAACAUACAGCAGUAUGUGCAUGAUUACUACUCUGUUGCAAGGUUCAAAGCCACAUAUGCUUAUGCCUUGCCUGCUAUGGAGGGAAAACAACAAUGGGACAUGGUGGACCCUGGAUUCAAGCUUUGCGCUCCAGUUCUGAAGAGAGCAGCAGGUAGACCAAGGAAGAGUUGAAUAAGACCUCGCAGCGAAGGAGCUGGACUUGGAGCGAGGAAGCAUAAGUGCACAAGAUGUGGUGGGUCUGGUCAUUUCGGUAAGUAUUAUGAUAACACAGUAGAUCCAGCGUUCGGAGAGAGUUUCGAUGAAGGCUUCGAUGAAAAUGUUGGUCAGCAGCCGGUUGCCUCAAUAGAUGAUGAAAAUGUUGGUCAAUAGCCGGUUGCCUCAACAGAUGAUGAAAAUGAUGGUCAACAGCCGGUUGCAUCAGAUGAGGAUUUUGACGAGGUUCCAAAUGAUGAUGGUCAACAGCCGCAUGAUUUUGAUGAUGAUCCAAAAUAUCCUCCAAAUAAUGAUUCAAGUGAGGCUCCAAAUGGUGAUCCAAGUGAGGCUCUAAAUGGUGAUCAUGGUGAUCCAAGUGAGGCUCCAAAUGAUGAUCCAAGUGAGGCUCCAAAUGGUGACCAACCUUCUGUUGUUGUGAGUUCUGCUAGGUAUGUAAAUCUUGCAAGGGUCAAAUACUACUUUACAUCUAUCACUUGACACGAUCUCAUUACCGUUUAUGUUUGGACCCUUUAUGUUUUGCACAGCUCUAUGGUAGGUUUGAAGAAGACGCGCAAGGUACCGACAACCAAGAGAAGAAGAGAAGAAACAAUGAGCACAAGGUGCACGAGGAGCAAAGUGAUGGCAAGAAGCUCAAGGAACAGACAGAAGCCCCAACGCUAUCUAUGAACAAUUAUGAAACAUUAUGAAUAAGGAAUGAUGUUGUAUUAUGAAACAUUUAUCACUUGACAUGUUGUAUUUCUGUUGGAUGAUGUUGGACCUAUGUUAGAAGUAUGUUUGACAUGAUGUUUAAAUAUCUGUUGGAUGAUGUUUGAAUGAGCACAUGGUUUUUCCUUUUUUUGAUUUUUUUGAAUUUUGUUUUGCUCAUUUAAAUUCUGGUCAAACCUAACUUUGACCAAGAUUUAAGCAAGUCUAAAACAUCAAAAUGAAAAACUAAGCCUGGAUACUUCUUAGUCAAUCCAAAAUGAAGUUGUGGUGAGGUUUUUGAAAUUUUCAUGAAAAAUGUGCUAAAAAGAGGGGUCUAAAGGUAGGGUAAACGGCCUCAUUUCUAAGCAAGGUUUUUUUCGACCUUAUCUAAAUCAGCCAAAUAACUUUCCUACACAUAUAUUCUAUAUGUACAGACUAUGUGUGCUGGUUUUUCCAUUUUUUGAUUUUUUUUAAAUUUGUUUUGCUCAUUUGAAUUCUGGUCAAACUUAACUUUGACCAAGAUUUAAACAAGUGUAAAACAUCAAAAUGAAAAACUAAGCCUGGAUCCUUCUUAGUCACUCCAAAAUGAAGCUGUGGUGAGUUUUUUGAAAUUUUCAUAUUCAUUUCCCCAAAACACUUCUCUUCACUUCAUACAAGAGAGUUUGAGAUACUCGAGAUAUCAUACAAUACACAUGAACUUAUCAUUUAAAUGUAUGUAAAGCUUGUUUAUCAACUUAAAGCGUUAGUAUAUGACAUAAGAAGACUAUGUGCGCAGGUUUUUCAUUUUUCUGAUUUUUAUUUAAUUUAUUAUGCUCAUUUGAAAUCUGGUCAAACAUAGCUUUGACUGCUCCAAACCCCUCCCAAACCCCGCUAACCCUAGCGCUGAAUAAGGACCGUUCAUCUAACCCUAGCGGUGAUCAAGGGCCGUCGAUCUAACCCUUCUAGAAGAAAUCUGCGGGGAGGAGGGGGGCGAUCCGCGAGAUGCAAUCUGAUUGGCUGGGAGAUUGUUUUUUUAACAAAUAUCGGACGCGCUGGAUGGACCGUUGGGCCGUCUCGUUGUCUGGGCCUGAGAUCGCAGUAAAUAGCCCGUCUCAGCCUUUCCAGGCCUUGCAUGCAUGGAGGCGGCUACGUGGGUUUGCGCAUGCGCGGGAGGCGGCGACGUGCAUGCAUGCGAGUGAGGCGAGCGAGGCGCGCUAGGAGAGCUAGGCGAGCUAGGCUAGCGAGGCGAGCUAGGUGGUUCAGGGCAGUGGUUCAGGGCAGCGGUUCACAUGCACUGCCCGGUCAAAGAUGCAUCGUUUUCGUGCAAAAAUUUAAGUGUGCAAAACGUAACGGAUACACACACGCGUCCGGAUUCACGCACGCACCGUUCUCAUCCUUUCUCUCUUCCUCUCCCACCCACAGGCCUAUAAAUGGGGUGCCUCUCUUCCUCUCCCACCCACAAGCCAGAUCCGAUCCUCUCCAACUUCAAACACCCAAGUGACCAAGCCCUCCCCAAGCGAGACCAAGUGAAGAAGAUGCAGUUCAACGGGCUGACCUUCCGCCGUCCGCCUAUGGUGCCGGAGCUGCGCUACCCAUCGGGCGUGCUCGUGGAGAGGGAGCUCCGUGUGUGGGCUAUUUCAAGGUGGAGGGGUUCCGUCGAACUCACCCGCGCCUUCCUCAGAGCCGGCUAUGCCCACCUCCCACAGGGCUCACCGAGGAUGUUCACCCUCAACGAGGUUCGUGACCGCGGCGGCAUCCUCCUACUGCUCACGGUCACCUUCACCAACCCAUUUGACGCGCGCGAGCUCCUCGGCCAAGUCUUUUGGUGCGGCUGCGAGGCCAUCUUCUUCACCAUCUACAACAUCUACACCAACUACGAGCGCAUCUUCCCCGCUCCAGGCCAGAUGCACUCCCUUCCCUACGACGACGAGGAGGAGGUGUGAAGAUGAAGACGGUGUUGAAGGGGCGCGCGCGGCCAAGGUGGAAGAAGGAGGUCAAGAUGAAGAUGUUCAAGCCCGGAGUCAAGCUCAUCAUGUUUGGUUUUUUAUUUUGUUGCUUUUCUAUGUCGUGUCGUGUCGUGUCAUGUUUCAUUAUGUGUCCGUGAACUGUCCGUGAACUUAUCUAAGUUAUUGUAAUGGUAUGGUGUGUUCCAUCUUAUUAUGUGUGUUGAAAAAUGUCCGUGCCCAAACUUAUCAUUUCUUCCCUAAACAAGUCAUGAAGUUCGAGAACUUGUGGUUUUCGGAGGGGGUGAGAAGCCCUCUGUUUCAUUCAAACAAAAAGUCAUGAACUAACAUGCAAAUUUAUUCCCUUUAAAUCCUAAACCAAGUGCCACUCUAACCCUAAACCAAGUGCCACUCUGACCAAAAUCAUGUGGUAGUGCAACAUACAUUUUCAACCUUCCAACCCUCCAAAAUUUAAGUGCAAAAUAAAGGAAAACCACUCUCACGCGUGUGCAAACAUUCACGGUCUCACUAUUUUUUUUAAAAAAUUCACAGUCUCACUAUGUACACCUUCCUUCCCUACCCAUGUCAAAGUCUUGCCAUCUGUCCUAGCGGUUACCAGCGCAGCCCUAAACACCACAAACCCACGCGGUCCUGGGUUCGAGUCCCCAGCCGCACCAAUUUUUUGUGCAUUUUCCACCCUUCAUUUUUUUAUACAUAUUAUGUUUUCCUCAAUGUAAUGCCCUUAAAAAAUGUUCAUUUAUUUUGGCACCUGGCGUAAACCUCUACCAGAGCUGAGGCACAUUUUUCAUGACAUUUUGGUCUUUGAUUUAAAUCACGGUGUAUUUGAAUUGGAUUAAUUAACAGCUCCAAAAAAUUUCUAACCUUAAUUGUUUGGCUCCGGAAUAAUUCAAUUAGCUUCCAAAAAAAGUUUCAGCAUUAUGAUUUACUGCCUAAAUUAAAUCAGAAUAGAAAAUAAAAAAAUACGCAAGAAAACCCCUGAAUGGGCCUAAUUGGAUGCAGUUGGCCCAUUAGUCUAGCCUGCACUUGGCUCUACGCUCUGAAUUUGGCCCAAGAGCAACAUUUUUUUCGGACAGAAAGGCAGAGCAGAGAGCUGCAUUUCAUUGAUCAAAAGUUUCUGAAUUCCUAAUUUCUUCUCUUUUUUUCCAACAUAUUUAAAUGUUGGUCACUUCUUCUCUUUUUGUUUCAACAUUUAAACAACUUUAACCAACAUUUAAACUAGGUGAAUUUCUCAAACAAUUUCAAGAUUACAAAUUCCUUCAUAAUUCAUGCCUUUCCAUAUAUUUUCAACAUUACAACCAGUGCGAUUACCAUACCUACAAAUGCCCAAAAGUAUUUGCAAAUGGGUAUUGAUAGUGCUUGAUCUUCAAGCUUCCUAACCUUCUUCUUCAACAUCCUAAGCUCAAUAGCUAGCUCUCUGUCAGUGCGUGCUUCGCCAUCCAUCUCUUCUUCCGGAGCUCGUGGUGUGGCCACUGCCGUUCGUGGCAGCAUGCGCAACCAUUCUUCAUGCUCUUCUUGCAGUUCAUUCAUCAGAGUCUUGGCCAGAGCAUCGACCCAAAGAAAGAAGCAUGUCACCUGCAUGAACACUAAACAGAUCAACCCAUUGCUCAAACAUCCCGACGACGAAAAUGGUGCAAUUGCCCCGAUUCUUACCCCAUUCUCGCUGCACACGUAGAACAGACGAUUCUGGUUCCUCGGUCUGAGAAACCCUUCGAUCAACGCCCGCUCGGCACCGUGGACAGACGAAGACAGGCAUGUCCACACGCGCCCGGCUCUGCAUCCGCGAGGUGGCGCGGGAGCUUGAGGAAGACAUGGAGCUCGGAGCCGAAGGGGAUCUCAACGCCGCCGCGCCCUCCACUGCUAGCUUCCCACCGCCGCGCCCUCCACAGCUAGCUUCCCGCCGCCGUGCUCUCUCUCUCGCCGUGGUCACCGUCGUGCUCUCUGUCGCCGUGGUCACCGCCGCUGUCGCCCGCUUAUAUAGCACACCCGUCAACGGCUCUCUGCUCAACGGCUCUUUGCUGGGUCCCACAAGCCACGCGUGCAACGGUCUAAAUAAAAUUGGCCGUUUCUGCCGCCUGGUCCCACCUGUAAGGGCCGAGUCAAAAGGUUGACCUGACGGAGACGGCAGAGUUCACGGAACGAGUCGGUGCACACGGACUAGGGGCAAAACUGAGCACAAUUCGCAUCUAAGGGCAAAACUGAGCACAUGGACACCACUGAGGGCAAAAGGAUAAUUAACCCUUCUUUAUAGCAAUCUGAAAUGUAAUUAGCAUUUUACGCACACAUAUUCGCUCUACUUUUAUGUUAUUAAAUCUAAACUUCGGGCAUUUACCAUUGACCACAAAUUAAGAAAAAUGAAUAAAGGGCUAAUAUGCCUCAAUUCACAGUGUAUUUGGUCCGGUUUGACAGUUUAUUAUAUACUCCCUUCGUUUCUAAAUAUAAGUCUUUUUACAGAUUUCAAUGCGGACUACAUAGAAAUGUAUAUAGACGAUUUUAGAGUGUAGAUUAACUCAUUUAGCUCCGUAUGUAGUCUUUAGUGGAAUAUCUUGAAAGACUUAUAUUUAAGAACGCAGGGAGUAUUUGUCUUCCUGGUCAUGCUAGGUCUAGGCGAGGUGCAGUGACAUGCUUGGCCUUGGCCAAAGUAGUUUCAGAGUGGCGCCUUAGAACAUCAAGCGGUAAUAACGUUGUCAGUGUCAGGUCUUCGAAUUUCCAAAUGGCCUUUUAAAAAUUCUUAUCUCGUCCUGGAGUAUGUUCACCAACGAAUCUCACGCGCGACCUCAUCAUCAAUGUGGUGCAUAUGUGGUUAGCAAAAGAAAAAUUGAAACUGCCUUCCUCCAGGCCAUGACCGUGCAUGUUGCAUGCCCCUUAUGUCUUUACCAAGGCCAUGAGAGUCAUUCAGUGCAGUACAUAAGAUACAAUGAUCUUUUUUUUUGCCGAAUAGAUAGAAUGAUCCUUCACAUCAAGUCUUACACAUAAAUAAAAAAAAUCCAGGCAGCAGUUCUAUGUUUAUGUUGUGCUAGAUUUCCUUUUUUUUUUGCGUACUGGUUCUGUUUCGUUUUGAAUAAAAAUGUUACUCAUGACAAGAUACAUGUUUUACCCGAAGAAUAUUUCAGACUGUCUCUCAGGAAAUUAAGACGUGAUAACGACGUCACAUUUUUUGUUUUCCAAAUGGCCUUUUAAAAGUCUGUAUCUCAUUCUAGGAUAUGUUGGUGCGAUGGAUCCGAGGCACAACCUCAUCCGCGAUUUUCGCAUAAGCUUGGAACCAACCAAUAAUUGCAUCGCCUUGAUGCAUGAGGGAAUCUGAAAUUAUGAUAACACAUCACAUUGGAAGACAAGCCAGCUAAUGUUCAGGCUCAAGAUGUCGACCACGUCUGCUUAGCCUGAUUCUCCUGGCUUGUGCCUUAUGUUCUUCCGUUGCAACGCACGGGCAUCUUUCGUAGUAAGUCUAAAAAUACAAAAUUUGGCACUACGUCAUUAUAUGACAACCAAAGACCGUAGUAAAAAUUUGAGUCUCCUACCGCGUCCGGCAAGGCCAGGGCUGCCUCCCCUCGCGCGCCAGCAACCGCCUGGCCUCCACGGACGCGCCACCCGCCAACACCAAGGCGUUGCUGGAUGGCAUCUCAGGCGAGGCGCGGGAGGACGAGCUGUUCGCCGUCAUGGGCGCCAACGGCUCCGGCAAGUCCACGCUCGUCGACGCGCUGGCGGGCCGGAUCAUGCGUGACAGCCUCUGUGGCCGCGUCACGCUCAACGGGGAGCCGCCCCACGGCAGCCGCCUUCGCGCCAUCUCCGCCUACGUCAUGCAGGUCGACCUGCUCUACCCCAUGCUCACCUGUAACGUGCCUGAUCGGCAAGGGAGAUCGGGGAAGGAAUUGGAGUCGGUAGGAGGAAGGAAGGGGAAAGUGGUUUGGAGGAAAUAUCUUGGAGAGAGGGCAGCUCUGCUCCGAUUCGUUCUAGCCAAGUAAUACACGAUGCCCACACCAGCCACACACGGCUGUACUUAAGCACGCCAACCCAACAACCCCACUCACACCUACUCAUCUGCACCUGGUCUUCAUCCGCCCCCCGCCUCUGCCAGGUGGGCCUCCUCGGGUCUCAUGCUCGCGGGGCCACCGUCAGUCGUGACAUUCUCCCCCUCUUGGAAGCCGCCUUGUCCCCAAGCCGAUGAUGCUGGAAAAUGCUGCUGCAGGUCUUCUAGGUUCUCCCAGGUCGCGAGUGAGGCCGGCCAAUCCUUCCACUGGACACGGACGCGCUGAGCGCGGAUCCCGUUGCUGCUCACCUCCUUGCUGUCAAGGAUGCAGAGAGGCUCUUGUGCUGCCUGCAAGAUAUCAUCAGGAGGAGGUAACUCACUUGAUACUGGCACAUUCACGCCAACUGCCUUCUUGAGUUGCGACACAUGAACCACUGGGUGUAUUUUGGUGGUUUCUGGAAGAAGGAGCCUGUAUGCCACCUUCCCCACUCGUGCUUCAAUCUUGUAGGGGCCGUAAUAUCUGAAGGCCAGUUUCUGAUAGGGUCGCUGUGCCACCGAGGUCUGGAUGAAUGGUUGCAACUUGAGAAAUACCCAAUCACCUACCUGGUAUUCCCGGUCUGUGCGGUGCUUGUCAGCCUGGCGCUUCAUGCGGUCUUGGGCAUGCUUGAGGUGUUGAUGUAACAGUUCCUGCAUCACUUCCCGCUCACGAAGCCACGCAGCAAGGUCUGGCACCGUGCACUCGUCCACUUGAGUUACGCCUGAUUCUCUUGGAUGCGUCCCAUAGAUGACUUCAAACGGCGUGCGCCCCAAUGCUGAAUGGAAUGUCGUGUUGUACCAGCAUUCUGCGAGGAAGAGCCACUUGUACCAGUUUUUCGGGCAAGAAUGAACAGAGCAUCGGAGAUAUGUUUCCAAACAUUGGUUCACUUGCUCCGUUUGACCAUCUUUCUGAGGGUGAUAGGAAGAGCUCAGCCUCAACUUUGCUUUGGACAAUUUGAACAAUUCUUGCCAUAGAGCGCUGGUGAAGAUCCGGUCUCGGUCGGAUAUGAUCGCCAAAGGCAGGCCAUGGAGGCGGAAGAUGUGUUGCAUGAAUGUUGUGGCAACAGAGAAGGCAGUAUACGGGUGCUUGAGUGGAACAAAGUGAGCAUACUUGGAGUAUUUAUCGACAACGACUAGGAUGACGUCAUACCCUCCUGAACGGGGCAGCCCUUCGAUGAAGUCCAGAGAAAUGACUGCCCACGGCCGCUUCGAAAUUGGAAGUGGUUGUAGGAGACCAGCCGGAGACACCCGUUCUGUCUUGGCUUGCUGGCAUGUCAAACAGGCACGAACAAAGCCUUUGACUGUGUCUUUCAGUCCCUUCCAAGCAAACAAACAACGCACACGGUGGUACGUGGCGUGGAACCCCGAAUGACCGCCCGUGGCACUGUCGUGGAGAGCUCUCACCAAGGCCUCUUGAAUUUCGGGGGCUUGCCCGAUCCAAAUUCUCCCUUGGAAUCGGACGACUCCUUCCUGUAGAGAAAACCUUUCUUCAGCCAACGGAUCCAGAGCCAAAUGGGUGAGGCACUGCUGCACUGUUGGGUCAUUCUUGUAGCUCUGGAGGAUUGUGUCCAGCCACACUGGUCGGCGCACCGAGAUGGCCGCAAGUUCUGCCUGUGGGUCUGCCACACGUCGAGACAGCGCAUCAGCGGCUCUGUUUGAUGCACCCGCUUUAUACUGGAUUCGAAAUUGGAGCCCGACAAGCUUGGUGAAUGCUCAAUGUUGGAUAGGUGUAUUUAAUCUCUGAUCCGUCAAGUUCAGGAGGCCGCGCUGAUCUGUCUUGAUCAGAAACUCUGAGUGUUGCAAAUACGGUCGCCAGUUAUAGGAUCGAAAGUAUGUCGAGAGGGGGGGGGGGUGAUUAGACUACUUGACCAAAUAAGAACUUAACAUUUUCCCAAUUUUAGUUCUUGGCAGAUUUUAGCUAUUGUAGGACAAGUCAAGCAAUCAUCACACAAUUCAAGCAAGCAUGCAAAGAGUAUAUUGGCAGCGGAAAGUAAAGCAUGCAACUUGCAAGAAUGUAAAGGGAAGGGUUUGGAGAAUUCAAACGCAAUUAGAGACACGGAUGUUUUUCCCGUGGUUCGGAUAGGUGGUGCUAUCCUACAUCCACGUUGAUGGAGACUUCAACCCACGAAGGGUAACGGUCGCGCGAGUCCACGGAGGGCUCCACCCACGAAGGGUAAUGGUUGCGGAGUCCACAGAGGGCUCCACCCACGAAGGGUCCACGAAGAAGCAACCACCCACGAAGGGUCCAUGAAGAAGCAACCUUGUCUAUCCCACCAUGGCCAUCGCCCACGAAGGACUUGCCUCACUAGCGGUAGAUCUUCACGAAGUAGGCGAUCUCCUUGCCCUUACAAACUCCUUGGUUCAACUCCACAAUCUUGUCGGAGGCUCCCAAGUAACACCUAGCCAAUCUAGGAGACACCACUCUCCAAGAAGUAACAAAUGGUGUGUUGAUGAUGAACUCCUUGCUCUUGUGCUUCAAAUGAUAGUCUCCCCAACACUCAACUCUCUCUCAUAGGAUUUGGAUUUUGUGGAAAGAAGAUUUGAGUGGAAAGCAACUUGGGGAAGGCUAGAGAUCAAGAUUCAUAUGGUAGGAAUGGAAUAUCUUGGUCUCAACACAUGAGUAGGUGGUUCUCUCUCAGAACAUAUGAGUUGGAAUUGUGUAUGUGUUCUGAUGGCUCUCUCAAAGAAUGAAGAGGAGGUGGAGGGGUAUAUAUAGCCUCCACACAAAAUCCAACCGUUACACACAGUUUUCCAAUCUCGGUGGGACCGAAUCAACAAACUCGGUCAGACCGAAAAGGUAAACCUAGUGACUGUUAGAGAUUUUCGGUGGGACUGACAUGCAACUCGGUAGGACCGAUAUGGUUAGGGUUUGGGCAUAACGUAAUCUCGGUGAGACCGAUUACGCAAACUCGGUGAGACCGAGUUUGGUAAUAAGCUAACCAGAGAGUUGGUCAGGCAAACUCGGUGGGACCGAUUUGCUCUUUUGGUGAGACCGAAAAGUUACAAAAGGGAAACAAAGAGUUUACAUUGCAAUCUCGGUGGGACCGAUUCGCUCUUUCGGUGAGACCGAAAAGUUACAAAAGAGAAACAGAGAGUUUGCAAUCCCAUCUCGGUGAGACUGAGAUCCCUAUCGGUAGAACCGAAUUGCUAGGGUUUGGCAGUGGCUUAUGACAAGUGAAACUCGGUGGCGCUGGAUAGAAAGAAUCGGUAGGACCGAGUUUGGCUUAGGGUUUAGGUCAUAUGUGGAUAUGGGAAAGUAGUUGAGGGUUUUGGAGCAUAUCACUAAGCACAUGAAGCAAGAGGCUCAUUAAGCAACACCUCAUCCCUCCUUGAUAGUAUUGGCUUUUCCUAAAGACUCAAUGUGAUCUUGGAUCACUAAAAUAUAAAAUGAAGAGUCUUGAGCUUUUGAGCUUGAGCCAAUCCUUUGUCCUUAGCAUUUUGAGGGUUCCACUUUCACAUCCAUUCCAUGCCAAUCAUUGAGCUUUCCUGAACUAGUCAUCUUGGAAUAGCACUAGCUCAAUGAGCUAUAUGUUGUUAUGAAUUACCAAAACCACCUAGGGAUAGUUGCACUUUUAAUCUCCCCCUUUUUGGUAAUUGAUGACAACAUAUAGAUCAAAGCUUCGACAAAUGAUAAUAAGCAUGAAAUAUAUCGUCGCUUUGAGAAGUAUGUGACAAGUAAGAGCUCCCCCUAAAUUUGUGGAUAUUUAAAAUUUGCUUUGGACUGCAAAUGCACAAAGAGUUAGAGUCAUGGGUUACUCUUCCAUGUUACAUACAUCUUGGUGGAGCGCUUAAAAUGAUAAGAAUGAAAUACAUGCACUCAUCACCAAGAAUAGUGACUGAUCACAUAAGAUAGAUAAGAUGAUAAUAUUAAGCAAACAUUAAGUGUAGCUUAUGAUCAAACACAUGAUCAUCAAUGUCUCACGAGCAAUGACAUAGUAUCUCACACAAAAGCAAACAAAGUUCGAAAAACCACCAAAUAAAACAAGAGAGAAUAAAAGCAACACUAAAAGCAACACUCUCUCUCGAAGCCUAUGAUCUAUACAUUUUCUCCCCCUUUGGCAACAAGUUACCAAAAAGUUCCUAGAAAAUGCAUAGUGCUAGAUCGACUCGCAGGCUUGAUCUUCUGGUGGUGGUGGAGUCCGGAGCACUCCAAGGACGAAGCCUUCUGUAGACGUGGUUGGAGUUGAGGCUGAAGUAGAUGCUGGAGCUGGUGGAACUGAAGCUGUAGCUGGUGCAGAAGUGGUGGCUCUGGUGUCAGCAACUGGCACUGCAUGUGAUCUCUGAGCUCUUGGCACUCUGGCAAAUGCAUCAGUUGUAGUCUUGCCUCUCCUCUCCUGCAUGUCAUCCUGAAGUUAUUCCACUGCAGACUGAAUCUCUGUUACUUUGACAUCCAAGUCAUAGAACUUUUGUUCCAUGAUCCUCUCUAAGCUCUGCUGAUUCUGAGUGAGGGUGGCCAGUCCUUGCUCAAUCCUCAGUGUGGAUGCAAUCAAGUAACCAAGCUGCUCUUGUUUGGUUUUCAAGAAAUACUUAGAUGCCUCCUCUUGAGUUAGCAUCUUGGCAGCUUUCUCCUUCCUUGCCUGCUCCUUCUUUGCUUGUGCUUGAACUGAUGAUGGUUCAUUCUCAUUCAUGACAACCUGAUUAUCUUCAAAAUCUGGAUGAUUAGGCAAAUGUUCCUUGUCCAAUAAGUAUAUGCCUGUGCCCAUCUUGGAGUUAAUUAGCUCCUGGAUCUGAGGGGCAUAUCCACAACUCCUCUUCUGGUCUGCUGCAGUCCUCUUGAUUGUUUCUACGAUGAGGCUCAUCACCUUGAAUUUUUGUGGCACAUCAAAGAUAUGAAGCAAAUUGAUCGCAUGGCCUCUGAUCAUCUUGUGAUCACCUGACUUGGGCAACAAGGUGUGCCUCAAGAUCCAAUUGAUAGUUGGCAAUCCUGACAGAAGAUAAUGUACUGAGCCAAACUUGAACGUAUCAAGUGCCUUGUUUGGAAUUUCCUUGUACAUGUUGGACAUAGAGUUGUGGUCCAUCUUCUUCUUGGCAUAUAUAUCCAAGUCAUCUUCCUGCUCUUCUGGGGCAUUAAUGAGCUGUGCCCACUCAGCAACUGUUGACUGAUAUCUGGUUCCUUCUGACAUCCAUACAAUCCUGCCAUCUGGAUAAAAAUGUGUUGUGGAGUAGAAUUGCAUGAUUAGCUCUUCAUUCCACUUUGUGAGCUUCUGCCCAACAAAGUCUGCUACUCCACAAGCUAUGAAGUUGUCUUGCACUCCAGGAUAGUGCUCUUCAUUGUCCUUGAUGUACUCCCAAUCAACCCAUCUCAUGUCACAAACUAUGGGCUUCUUAUCAAGCAGCACUGUCUCAUAAAAAUCUUGCUGUUCCUUGGUGUGAAACCUGUAAUCGACAGCAGUUCUUCUCCUUGAAGCAUACGGGUCUGCUUCUCUCCACUUCCUCAGCCAUGAGUCUCUUCUGAGCUUCAUGUCCUCAGCCACAGGAUGAGCAUCACUAUGGUCUGGGAUCUUGGGCUUGAGCUUUCUAAGAACUUGAUCUUCUUCUUCUUCAGCAAUGUCAGGCACCGGGGCCUUGUUCUUCUCAGCAGCUGGGAUGCUUCUUGUAUUCCUCUUUGGCUUUGGCUUUGGAGCUGGCUUGGCCUUAGAAGCAGUUGCUCCUGCUCUUAUGGCAUCACCCAUCAGCUUGGGUGCCUUAGGUGCUGGUGCAGCUACCUCUUCUUCUUCCUCCUCAUCUUCCAUGAUGGAAGCCUUGCCAAGCACUCUGGCUACAGUUUUCUUCACCCUUUCUUUCCUCUUCUUGCCUUCAGCAGCAACUGGCUCAAUGGGAGUGGGCUUCUCAGUUGAAGCUCUGGCCUUUGACAUAGGCUGCCUGCCUGCUGUCCUUUUGAUCUUCAUCCCUGGUUUUAUGCCCUGUGCUGGCUCAACUCUCUUGGAAGUUGCUUCCUCUUCUGCCACAUAAUCUUCAUCCUCAGAAUCUGAAGUUCUCUUCUUCCUCUGUCUGGUGGCAGCUUUUGGCAGAUUGCUAGGGGUGCUCCUGCUGCCUUCAUCUGAAGAACUGGAGGGACUAGUGCCCUCACUCAUGUGCACUUGCUAUUCUGACACAUUCUGGCUAUCACUCUGAUCUGACAUGAUGAACAAGCUGACUGCUGACCCUGUGAACAGUUUAUAGAUGAGAUAGAGUGGAUGAGCAUCACAAAAUUCAGAGAUUUUUGCAAAAGAGUGAUUCAAAAACUUAGUUUUAGUUUCCCACUGAAAGCAUCUCGGAUCUACCGAUUUUCAAACUCGGUGAUACCGAAGCAGUUUUGGAACCUAAACUAGUUAACUCGGUUGGACCGAGUCACAGUUCGAUGGCACCAAGACUGCUAGGGUUUCACAGAGUUCCAAAAUCGGUCACACCGAUAAGUAAUUCACGGUCAGACCGAGUUUCACUUGUGCAAUGGCAUAAGCCAAAUCGGUGGGACCGAGUUUUUCAACUCGGUGGGUCCGAGAUGGUUUCGGCGGAAACCUAAACCUAGAAUUUUUGAAUCAAACCUAAUCUACGAGUUCAUUGACUGGAUAGAAGUUUAUCAAACGUGGCUAGAAUCAAUAUGAUCACAAUGUGCUAAGAAUCGGAUUGGGAAAUAGCACAAAGAUCGAGUCCAUACCCUAGUUCGGCGGAGACUCGCUACGGCGGCAAUGGCGGGGUUGAUUCCUGUUGACGGCGACGGAGACCAGCUACUGGAGGCGGCUGGCGGCGAGAAGACGAUCCGGAGACCAAGUUGGUAGAGCAGGCUAUCGCACGGGCGAAGGGGUUCGGAGAAAUUUCCAAUUUUUUGCCCGUGACUAUAUAUAGCCCGACCCUGUCGGUGUGACCGAGUGGAACAACUCGGUGGCACCGAGGUGCAAAACUAUAUACAGUUGUUGCAACUCGGUGUGACCGAAUGGUUCAAAUCGGUUGCACCGAGAUCGAAAACCUAGAUCAACUUAAUGAUCUCGGUAGGACCAAAAGUAGGGUAUCUGUCAGAUCGAGAAUCAUAAAGAGGUUUUGGAAGUUUAAGUCUAUGACGAAUCGGGGACUCCGAGCGCUCCUCAUACAGAGUGGUUCGAAUCUGACUUGAUCAAAUUUUGUGAUGUAGCAUGAAUAGAGUUUGAGACGAGAAAAGCAUAGAUAGCUAGAGGAGGUUCUUAGACAUUCUUGUCCAUCCACUUGGCAAAAGGAAAUAAAACCAAACAAUCAAAACAACAAGUGGAUGUCCUCGAAUGAGUAAAAUAUGCAACCAGCAUGCUCACACAAUAAGAUGGCAAAUGAAAUAUGUGACAAGGCAUGCACAACCAAUUCUAGCAUCUAUCAAGCAAUUUGCGAUGACAAGGUCAUCUAUAUAUGAGUAUAUUGACUUAGGAGUCAAGUGAGAACACUUGAUCAUAGGUCAUACUCAUCGUUUAAGCUCAAGUGGGGUUACCACUUUUACAUAAAGCAUUGUUGUGUUCACAUCUUUAGAGUUGCUUUAGCUCAAGUCUUAGAGUAAAGCUCCCCCUAGAUGUGAUAUCCCCCCUUAGAGGGAUGAACUAACCUCGGGUUUUGUCGAUGAUGACUUCAUGUAGAUGUUGAAGAUGUGGAUGCUCAAUGUUGAUGUAGAUCACUUGGAGCUAUCCAUUUGAGUGAAUUGCACUUUCAAUACCUACAUGGGUUAGUCCCACAAGGAACAAACAAGGAUAUCCAUAGACAUAGAGUGAUGCACACACAAGAUGAUGUCCAUGAAAACUUUUAGGUUACCUUGUCCCUUGUCUUACCAACAAGAGGGUUUGUGACUCCUUGAACUAGUGCAAGAUGUGGAAGUUGAUUGCACUUGUUCUUGCCAAAAUGAUAAGAGUGAAGUAUGUUGGCGGAGUCACCCUCAAGAACUCUCUAGUUCUUCUUCAUUUGGAUCCACACCAUAUUGAUGGGAAUCCUUGGAGUUGUAGUCGUACUUGAUGAAGUGGAACUUGAAGUAGUCUUGGGAAUCCACUUGACUAAGGUCUUAGGAGCUUCUUCAAAUGCAUCAAUUUCCUCUUGAAGCUUGUCCUUGCCUUUUUGCUUGUAGUCUUGUGGUGGAAGAUCAUCUUGAGCUGUGUCCCCUUGAAAGAAGUAUCAUACUUCUCUUGUUGAGGAACAAACUUUGUCUUGGAGUAUUGAUCUUCUUCCCACUCAACUCCAUUGGCAUUGAACUUUCGUUCAAAACCAACACCUUGAUUCUUCUGGUGCAUUCCUUGCUUGCGCACAAUUUCAUCGAAUUGCUUACUCCCGGCAAGGCUUUUGUACACUCCUUUCUCUAUAAUUCCCUUCAAUAAGCUAUUUUCUUGCUCAAGUGUAACUUGGCUAAGAGAAUCAUUAGUGGAAUCAAGAGAACUACUAGAAGCAACAAUAUUGGAUUUAGCAUGAUCAUUGUUACUGCUAGAGGAAGAAUCUUUCUUGUUCUUGUUACUAGACUUGACUUGAGGCAUGUAAGUGGAUAAGAGUAAACGCUUGGCAAUGUAAGAAGAACUUUUCUUGCGGAGAUCAUAAUUGAUUGCUUUUAAGAACUCAUGCUCUUGCUCAAGAUUGAGCUUUUCAAAGCGUAAUUUCUCAUGAGCUCUUAAAAGUUCUCGAUGAUCUUCGAAGAUAGUUUCAUGAGCUAACUUAAGAGUGUUUAGUUCUUUAGUUAGAGCCUCAAUCUUCUCCUUAUCAUUGUCAUUCGUUUUAUCUUGAUUAGCAUGAUUAAUUGACGUUUCAUCAUAGUAUUCAUCACUAGAGUUGUCAACAAGCAAAUCAUCACCUAACAAGUCAUCUUCAUCACUAUUGAAAUCAACAUACUCGGGGUGUGUUACCUUAGGACCUUUGGCCAUGAAGCAUCUUCCAAUUCCUUCAUUUGGUGAGUCAAAUAUGUUGUAGGAGUUGGUUGACACAAGUGCUAGACCGGCAACACCUUCAUCUUGAGUAUCUUCGGAGUCGGAGUGAUAACUUCUCUCGGAGUGGCUGUCGGAGUCGGAGCCGGAUACCCAUUCACCAACAUGAGCUUGAUGUCUUCGUUUUGUGUAGCUCCUUGAUGAUUUUUCCUUCCUUUCCGAAUCCUUGCUUCUCCGUGAGUAUCUUCGUUCAUAACAAUCAUCUCUACUCCUUCUCUCUCUUAGUGGUGAUUCUUUGCUUCUUCUUUUUGGAGAAUCUUCUCUUCUCUUGUAGGGAGCCGUACACUCAUUGGAAUAGUGUCCGGGUCUUCCACAACUGUAGCAGUUUCGCUCUCGACUAGAAGAUCUUUUGUCAUUGUAGGACCUUGACUUGAAGCUUCUAUCUUUGCUUCUACUCUUGUAGAACUUGUUGAAGUUCUUCACCAUUAAGCUCAAUUCUUCAUUGAAGUUUUGUUUCUCACUUCAUGAAGUAGGAGCUUCACAUGAGGCUUUGUAGGCACCACUUGAUUUGUUGUGAAGUUCCUCUUUAUCCUUAAGUGACAUCUCAUGAGCAACAAUUCUUCCAAUCACCUCUGUUGGCUUGAGAUCUUUGUAAUUGGGCAUCAUUUGGAUCAAUGUGCACACGGUAUCAUAUUUUCCAUCCAAGGCUCUUAGAAUCUUCUUGAUGAUGAAUCUAUCGGUCAUCUCUUCACUUCCUAAGCCGGCAAUCUCAUUUGUGAUGAGAGCAAGCCUAGAGUACAUUUCAGCGACACCUUCACCAUCCUUCAUUUUGAACUUGUCAAGUUGACUUUGAAGCACAUCCAACUUGGAUUCCUUGACGGAGUCGGUACCUUCAUGCAUAUCAAUCAAAGUGUCCCAAAUUUUCUUUGCAUUCUCAAGACGGCUGAUUUUGUUGAAUUCUUCGGGGCACAAUCCGUUGAAGAGAAUAUCACAAGCUUGAGCAUUGUAUUGCAACAUCUUCAACUCAUCCGCGGUAGCUUCACGGUUUGGUUCUUUCCCAUCAAAGAAGUCACCUUGAAAACCAACACACACAAUAGCCCAAACGGCGGGGUUAUGUCCAAGAAUAUGCAUUUUCAUUUUAUGCUUCCAACUAGCAAAAUUAGUACCAUCAAAGUAAGGACCUCUACGGUGAUAAUUUCCCUCGCUAGACGCCAUACUCUCCUAGGUUGUGAAACCAAGGCUAUGACCACCAAAAGCUAUGUAAAUCAAAGCAAAUGGAGACCAAAGCUCUGAUACCACUUGUAGGAUCGAAAGUAUGUCUAGAGGGGGGGGGUGAUUAGACUACUUGACCAAAUAAAAACUUAACCUUUUCCCAAUUUUAGUUCUUGGCAGAUUUUAGCUAUUGUAGGACAAGUCAAGCAAUCAUCACACAAUUCAAGCAAGCAUGCAAAGAGUAUAUUGGCAGCGGAAAGUAAAGCAUGCAACUUGCAAGAAUGUAAAGGGAAGGGUUUGGGGAAUUCAAACGCGAUUGGAGACACAGAUGUUUUUCCCGUGGUUCGGAUAGGUGGUGCUAUCCUACAUCCACGUUGAUGGAGACUUCAAUCCACGAAGGGUAACGGUCGCGCGAGUCCACGGAGGGCUCCACCCACGAAGGGUAAUGGUUGCGCGAGUCCACGGAGGGCUCCACCCACGAAGGGUCCACGAAGAAGCAACCACCCACGAAGGGUCCACGAAGAAGCAACCUUGUCUAUCCCACCAUGGCCAUCACCCACGAAGGACUUGCCUCACUAGCGGUAGAUCUUCACGAAGUAGGUGAUCUCCUUGCCCUUACAAACUCCUUGGUUCAACUCCACAAUCUUGUCGGAGGCUCCCAAGUAACACCUAGCCAAUCUAGGAGACACCACUCUCCAAGAAGUAACAAAUGGUGUGUUGAUGAUGAACUCCUUGCUCUUGUGCUUCAAAUGAUAGUCUCCCCAACACUCAACUCUCUCUCAUAGGAUUUGGAUUUUGUGGAAAGAAGAUUUGAGUGGAAAGCAACUUGGGGAAGGCUAGAGAUCAAGAUUCAUAUGGUAGGAAUGGAAUAUCUUGGUCUCAACACAUGAAUAGGUGGUUCUCUCUCAGAACAUAUGAGUUGGAAUUGUGUAUGUGUUCUGAUGGCUCUCUCAACGAAUGAAGAGGAGGUGGAGGGGUAUAUAUAGCCUCCACACAAAAUCCAACCGUUACACACAGUUUUCCAAUCUCGGUGGGACCGAAUCAACAAACUCGGUCGGACCGAAAAGGUAAACCUAGUGACCGUUAGAGAUUUUUGGUGGGACUGACAUGCAACUCGGUAGGACCGAUAUGGUUAGGGUUUGGGCAUAGCGUAAUCUCGGUGAGACCGAUUACGCAAACUCGGUGAGACCGAGUUUGGUAAUAAGCUAACCAGAGAGUUGCUCAGGCAAACUCGGUGGGACCGAUUUGCUCUUUCGGUGAGACCGAAAAGUUACAAAAGGGAAACAAAGAGUUUACAUUGCAAUCUCGGUGGGACCGAUUCGCUCUUUCGGUGAGACCGAAAAGUUACGAAAGGGAAACAGAGAGUUUGCAAUCCCAUCUCGGUGAGACCGAGAUCCCUAUCGGUAGAACCGAAUUGCUAGGGUUUGGCAGUGGCUUAUGACAAGUGAAACUCGGUGGCGCCAGAUAGAAAGAAUCGGUAGGACCGAGUUUGGCUUAGGGUUUAGGUCAUAUGUGGAUAUGGGAAAGUAGUUGAGGGUUUUGGAGCAUAUCACUAAGCACAUGAAUCAAGAGGCUCAUUAAGCAACACCUCAUCCCUCCUUGAUAGUAUUGGCUUUUCCUAAAGACUCAAUGUGAUCUUGGAUCACUAAAAUAUAAAAUGAAGAGUCUUGAGCUUUUGAGCUUGAGCCAAUCCUUUGUCCUUAGCAUUUUGAGGGUUCCACUUUCACAUCCAUGCCAUGCCAAUCAUUGAGCUUUCCUGAAAUAGUCAUCUUGGAAUAGCAUUAGCUCAAUGAGCUAUAUGUUGUUAUGAAUUACCAAAACCACCUAGGGAUAGUUGCACUUUCACCAGUGAUCCACUGCCAUUAAUAGUGCGAGGCACUCCGUCUCAUACAUGGACAACCCCAAGUUCCGAGGGGAGAGGGCCCUGCUGAGGUAGGCGACCGGGUGCGAGUUUUGCAUUAGCACUGCACCGAUCCCUGUGGCACUGGCGUCUGUCUCAAUUACUAACUGUUUGCUGAAAUCCAGAAGAGCCAGUACCAGGGCUUCGAUCAGCGCACAUUUGAGGGCUUGAAAUGCUACUUCAGUCGUGGGUGUCCAGACAAAUAGGGUAUUCUUCCGGAGGAGGUCGUUGAGAGGUCUUGCGAGAAUACCGAAGUUGCGGACAAAUUUCCUUUUUAGUACCCGGCCAAGCCUAAGAACCCGCGCAGUUGCUUGACUGAGGUUGGUUGCUCCCAUGUCUGGACAGCCUUGAUGUGCUCAUCCAAUGUUGCCACCCCAUCCUUGCUGAUCUUGUGCCCUAAGUAGCUGAUUUCUUGUUGUGCGAACGCGCAUUUUGAAAGCUUGACUCGUAGGUCGUGCUCUUGCAGGUGCUGGAGCACUUGCCUCAGCAAUACCAAAUGUUCAGACAUGGUUUUGGUAUGCACCAAGAUAUCAUCCAUGAACACGAGCACCCCGUGCCUGAGAAGUGGAUGCAUCAAAAUGUUCAUCGCUCCCUGAAAUGUUGGCGGGCCUCCUGUUACCCCGUAUGGCAAGACCCGAAACUGGAAAUGUCCCUGGUGUGUUGUAAAUGCCUUCUUCAUCUCAUCUUCCUCCAGCAGUCUGAUCUAGUGAUAUCCUGCUCGAAGGUCCAGUUUGGAGAACCACGCUGAUCCAGCAAGUUCAUCUAGCAGCUCCUCGAUAAUGGGCAGUGGGUAGGCACGCUUGAGAGUGAUUGCGUUCAAGUGUCGAAUCCACGUAGAACCUCCAAGUCUGAUCCUUCUUCUUGACUAACAACACUGGCGAUGAGAAGGGGCUGGCACUUGGCACAAUCAGUCCUGCCUUCAGCAUCUCCUGGACUUGCGUUUCAAUCUCUGUUUUCUGUUCUGGGUUGUAGCGGUACGGUCGAAUGUUCACUGGUUUGGCUCCCGGAAGCAGGGGAAUGGCGUGAUCCCACGGCUUAUGUUGUGGCAAUCCGGUUGGCUCUGCAAACACUUGAGAGAACUCUUCGAUCAACUCCAUUAUUGGAGUCGGCAUUUGCUCCUUGCUGCCCUCCGUUGUAUCUUGCUCGACUGCUCGCAGGAGGAUGAUGUGUGCAAUUUCCUCUCCUUCCUCCAUCUCGCUCAGUUGCACGGCUGACACUUGAGCUACCUUGGCUGUAGUAGGAACUACCCCUCGCAACUCUAUCAACUCAUUGUUGUGGCAGAACUACAAGAUUUUCUGCUUCCAGUCCACCCACAUCGGCCCACAUUGCUGGAGCCAAUCCAUGCCGACCACCAUGUCGUAGCAUCCCAGUUGCAGAACUCUCAUGUCAGUCUUGAACUCAAACCCUUGCGUCUGCCAAGUACAGGCUGGUAUCAUGGCUGAACAAGAGAGUAGACCUCCAUUGGCAAUUUUGACAGAAAUCUGGUUCAUCGGUUGCACUUUAUCAGCCAAAUGGCUUGCCACCUCCUCGCUGAUGAAACUGUGUGAACUACCAGAAUCAACCAGAAUGAGCACUUCCUUGCCAGCAAUCCUGCCCAAUAAUCUGAUAGUGUGUGGUGUUGUUUUCCCUGUAGUUGCGACUUUGGAAAUGGACAUGAGAACCUCUUCCUCCUCUGCGGCCUCUGGAUCAGCAGGAUCUGGGUAAUCUGCUUGCAACAAGUCAAGCAACUCUUCGACGACGUGUAGCUGAACCGUUGGGGCACACUGGUGGCCUUGUCCCCAACGCUCACCGCACUUGAAGCACAAACCGCGGGCACGCCUGUAGUUCCGUAGUGCGGCUACCCUGUCGUCGCCACGAACGCCGCGGUCCUGUGAAUGUGCCGCGUCGAUGCCGUGGCGAUCUUCUACAGCCGCGGGUGGCCCAGGAGGAGGGGUUCGCACCGGCGGAGCUCCAAGCGCCAGCAGGGGCCGGACGAGAUGCAGCUGCUGUACUUCUUGCCGUCGGAACUCCCGGCGAGGGAGAGCUUCCACCAAUUCUUCCUGCAAGGAUGCCAAGGAAAAUGCGGAGUCCAAGUCCUUGGGUUGAUGUAACAGAACACCUACUUUUAUCUCUUGCUUGAGCCCUUCAAGGAAUUGCGUGGUAAAGAAAACAUGAUCAAAUGCUGGAUUGUGCACUAGUAAUUGAUGCAUAUGUUCCUCGAACUGCAGCAUAUAAGCAUGCACUAUGGUCGUCUGUUUCAGAGUGCGAAACUGACGAAGAUGAACCUGAUAUUGUUCCCGACCAAAUUUCCCACAUAGUGUUGUACCCAACUCUUCCCAUGUCAUGGUCGUUCCCCUCGACUCAUGCAACUGCAACCAUCUAGCAGCAUUCCCAGAGAAAUGCAAGGUGGCUACCCGAACCCAUAAUUCCGGUGGAACACUAUAGACAUCAAAGUAUUUCUCACAUCAGGUUUUCCAAAACUGUGGGUUAUCCCCAUUGAAGGACGGGAAAUCCAAUUUUGGAAGUGACCAGCUAGACGGGGUAGCAUGCGGUGUACGAGGUUCAAAAUCCUUGACCAGAUCGGGCGGGCUCAGAGCAAGAGAAUGGGCAGGGGAUCGGGAUCGGUCAGAGACGUACUCUUGACCGGAGGGGGCAACUGGGUGGUGACCACCCCGUGUGCCCGUCCCCCGGUGAUGUCGCUCGCGCCGUGGCCAUCUGGCCCGUGGUGCCCCGGAUCCGCCGAGGAGUUCUUCCCGUGCACCAUCGCGUCACCGGCAGAGCCCAGAUCUGACUCCAGGGGCGCCGCCAGGACAGGAUGAAGCACGAUGCGCCCGACCUGGGCGCGUAGCUCAUCCACUUGGUGCUGCAUGUGAGUCACCGCAGGCCGCCACAACUCCAGGGAGGUCUGGAUCGCCUCCAAUCGCUCCUCCAUCGCCGCCCGACUGGCGUUGACAGACUGGAUCAGCGCCGCCAACUGCUCCUCCAUCGCCGUCAACUUGAGGGCUAGUUUGGUGCUGUAGCACUGUUUUGGAUACGCCGUCUCCAAGACGACCGACCUCUGAUACAAAAUUGUAACGUGCCUGAUCGGCAAGGGAGAUCGGGGAAGGAAUUGGAGUCGGUAGGAGGAAGGAAGGGGAAAGUGGUUUGGAGGAAAUAUCUUGGAGAGAGGGCAGCUCUGCUCCGAUUCGUUCUAGCCAAGUAAUACACGAUGCCCACACCAGCCACACACGGCUGUACUUAAGCACGCCAACCCAACAACCCCACUCACACCUACUCAUCUACACCUGGUCUUCAUCUGCCCCCGCCUCUGCCAGGUGGGCCUCCUCGGGUCUCAUGCUCGCGGGGCCACCGUUAGUCAUGACAUCACCGUGCGCGAGACGCUGCUAUUCGCCGCCGAGCUCCGCGUCUCGCACGCUGUCUUCCUCUGCCAAGCGCGAGUGGGUGGACCGGCUCAUCGACCAGCUCGGGCUCUCCCGCGCCGCGGACACCAUCAUCGGCAAUGAGGGGCACCACGGGGUGUCCGGUGGGGAGCGCCGUCGGGUGUCCAUCAGCACCGACAUCACCCACGACCCAAUACUGUUGUUCCUCCACGAGCCCACCUCCGGCCUCGACUCAGCCAGCGCCUUCAUGGUCGUGCAGGUGUUGCGCAUCAUCGCCUGCAGCAGCAGUGGCAUCCUCAUGACCAUCCACCAGCCCAGCGCGUGCAUCCUCGGCAUCCUCAGCCGCCUGCUGCUCGUCUCGCACGGCCGCACCGUCUACGUUCGCACGCUCGCCGGCCUGAAGCCCUUCUUCACGGAGUUCGGCGCGCGUCCAUGGUCAUGGUCAAGCACGCGUGCUUGGGCGAUUCACGUGGCGGUGGUGGCAGGGGUACCUGCGUGGGGGGAAAUGAGUGGAUAUUUUUUACACCCAGUCUAAAUGUUUCGCCAGCAGCCCUCCAAGCGACGAAAAAAAUGCCUCCUGGGGGCUCAACGGCUGAAGAUGCUCUAAGUUGCACUAACAGAACGCCCGUGCGUUGCUACGGGCUAUGCAUAUAUAAACUAGUUAAACAAACGAUUAACGUUGUCUGUAAGGUCAAAGCUCAUUUGUUCUCAAAGGCCCGGACGUGUUCGGGCAUCAAACGAACGCUUAUUAGGCUCUUCAAAAUUCAACCGUAUCGACAGUCUGGGCUCUCUCAAAUUUAGACCAUAUAUGGGGGAGAAAUGCGGUUGCUCAGACUAUCCCCAUGUUAUCUUCAACACAUGGGCCCAACACAAAAACCCCACCCCACAACAUAUCGCCCUCCUUUUCUCUCGGAUCCUCCCUUUCUCACUCGGUUUCCUUCUGUAGUGGGACAUUUCUCACUGGAGCUUCCUUCUUUAAAAUCAAAUGACACCCACCUCACCAUCAUCAUGUGUUGCAACAAAGAUGAAAAAUUUCAUAUUUACUGUAUAAUAAAGUGGAUUAAACUAACACAUACUAUUGACACAAAAUAAUAAAUAACUAUAGAGAUCAGUCUCAAAGGUCCAUUCAACUUUGCAAAUGCACACUGACAUGGGAGGUAAGUUGCAACCUGAAUGUAUUCCUAGUCACCAAUGAGCUCCACCUCCAGCCCAGAUAACAUUCAUUACUAGAAGGAAUGAUUGAUGUUCUUCUCUUCCUCGUCCUUCCCCACAUCUUCUACUCCUAAACUCUUUGCCAACCUGUUUCGUUGACACCAACAUCAGCGCGUUUGUCAGUGACGCCUCAUCUUCUUCUUCUUCCUCCUUCCUCGCCUCAUUCCUACUUAUUUUUUUAUAAUACUCUUUCUUUCUUGUUUUGCUUUAUAUUUUUGGAACACCCUUUCCAUCUCCAACACCAUGGACCACUUGGUCACUUUAGUUCCUUUGUCCUUCUUAUUCAUGGAGCACUCUCCCUUUCAACUAUAGCAUGAACCACCUCGCCAAUCUAGUGUCGUGUUGUACUCAUCCUCGAAGGUUUCAGAAACCGUCAACAUGUGGACAUCCUGCAGAGCAUGGUCGUCAUCCAUCUUGUUGAACGCUAGGUCAUCCAUGUCGCGGGCGCAUGCUGUCUGUUGUCCAUGUUGGCAAGUGGUGCCCGGCCAUGUCGCUGAGAGCCUGUUGAUUGUCCUUGCCGACGAGCGCUUUUAAAAUGAUUCAACACGAUGAACUGCUUACUUAAUUAAUUAAUUACACAAAUAAUUGACAACCUUCCUAAUUCUUUGCACGCCUGAUUAACUGCCAACCAAAUAGACUAAUUACCCGCCUAAUUGGAAAAAUCUCUACUUCUAAUUAUUUGUAGGCAUAAUAAAGUGUCUACCUAAACCAUUAAUUACAUUAAUGACUUGGUUUCAAAAUUGAUUGGGUGCAAAAAAUAAUAUCUAUUUAAAUGGACCUAAUUAAUUGCAUACAUAAUUAAUUGUCUAGUAAAUUAAUUAAAUUAAUGGAUUCAUUUCCAAAUUGAUUCAGCGCUCUAUUUCCAAAAUAUUUUCGCAUGAAUGGCUGCUAUGCAUAACGACGACUACCAAGUAUUGUAGGACACAUUUCCUUAACGAUUUUUUUGACAUUUGAAUGGAUACACUUGAUUUGAGAAUGUAGUUUGUGUGUCUCUGUGUAUUAAUGACAAGAAAUAUAAUAUGAUCGUGUCCAUGAACACAUGUACGUGGUGGUAUGACGACACGCCUUCCGUCAUGGCCGUCCUUGACGUCGUGAUUCACACCUUGACAUUCUCUAGUAUCACGCAAGUGUUAAGCCCGGCCGUGACAUCCUCCAUGGUGUCGCGAACGGCGUCCUCCGUAGGGGCACACGGAUGCGUACGCCCACAAGUAAAUGAUAUGUUCUUUUGUUGUUUAGGAAACUUGUGAUAGUCAAUUAAUAAUGGAGAUAAUAAUAAUGACAUAGUGCACGGGAUUAAUGAUUUGUUAUUGAGGAAUAUCUCAUUUUGUUUUGAAAAGUUAUCGAGGAAAAUAUUACAUCUAUAUUUUAGGAAGGUAAUCUCAAAUAUAUGGUGCAAGUUUUGAAUUCUUAAUUACCUAUUUAUUUACGUGAUUGGAAUGUAUUAGAACCUGCCAAAGUAAGCACAAAACAAGAUAUCUCCUCAAGUAAGAUUUGGUUUUUUAAUGGAAAGGAGAAAAACAAGUUGGUGGGGGCGGUAGGAGGUGACGAAUAAAAAUCGGACGAAAAUAAACCAUACCGGGCUACCAACUCCUCCGUUAGGAGUAGAGAUAAGUUGUAUUUCGCAAAAAAAUUAAUGUACUCCCUCCGUCCCAAACUAAGUGUCAACUGUGUAUUAAUCGUUAGUACAGAGUUGUACUGAAGUUGAGACACUUAUUUUGAGACGGAAGAAAUAACUUUUAGUGUUUUCCCUACAUGAUGUUCAUCUUUAUAUCGUCAUUUUCCAUCCACUAACUAUUUUAUAUGCAUUAUUUUGACAAUUUAUAGUAACAUGUAGAUGUUAUUUAUACCAAGUAAAAUACAUAUGCACAUAGGUUCGUACAAUAGAAGAAAGAGAAUCACAAGGGACAAAGUCUCGGAGUAGGGGAAACUGAUAAUAAUAUAAGAACACUAUUGAGUUACAUACUUAUUAUAUGCCUAUUUGGUCAAGAGGGGGUGAAAAAAAGUUCAGCAAUAUUGAAAAUAUGUAUAUGGUUACAAUAUAUUUUUUCUCGAUGGAUUUUAUUAAUUCAAAAUGAAGUAUUAAGAGAAUGCAAAUACAUUGAGCACCACCUGACCUGUCUAUAGAUAGGAUGCACACUGGCCGCGCGCACACACACACACACACACACACACACAAAUCACACUGACAAGUAACAAAGUCAUAAAAGGUCAAAGUUAUGCGAAAGUGAGGAAAAAGUGAAAACCCGAAGCGAUCAAAUCCGCGAUUGACAAACUACAAUAAUAACCAUAAUCACACGAGUCUUCUUAUGACACCACAUGAGCAAUGGUGUUCUUCGACAACAAUGCCUUCAGGAAUGGAGCGAUGCUCAAGAGCCCAUUGUCACCGGAUCCAACCACCAAAGACUAAAUCUAGGUUUUCACCCUAAAGAACACAUCAGAACAAAUCCGAGCAAUGCCUUCAACAAGGUAAUGACACAAUACCAUUACCGUUGCCAGGUGUAACCAACUCCGAUCGGACAUAGGUUUUCAUCGCGGAGAUCGAGACCGGAUGUACGAGUAGCAUCACCCCCAAAGUCAAUCAUGUGUUGUCGCCACCACUUUUAGCGAUCCCAACAAUUACAUGUGAUUGCCCACCGCAGCUGCACCACCAUACCCUUUUUUAUAGUUGUGUCAAAUAUUAUUGUACAAGAUAGGUUACAGUUGGACUCUAAAUAGUAUUGUGUUUACAUGGUAUGUAGUCGUGUCCUAGUAGGACACUUCUAUCCUAGUCCUCUCAUAUAUAGCGAGGAUAGACACACAUUGUAACCUAUGCAAACAUAAUAUCACGGGAACUCGGGGGAGCCGACAGCGUGUGCCGGCGCUCGGGCGGCCGGGGUGCGGUAUUGUAGCGGUGUCAUGGGGAGGAACACCCAUAGUCAGGCCCCGGGGAUGUAGCCAUACAGUGAACCUCGUUAAAAAAUAUCGGUGUCCUGCUUGUGUGAUUGCUUGGUCCUCGGUAGAUCAAUAGAGCGCCUCAGAUUUAUUCUAACAAGUGGUAUCAGAGCAAGGUUACAAAGAGGUGGUGGGAUUGUUGAUCUAGAGGAAGGAGCGGAGCGAUAAAUUUUGUCGGAUCGAUGAUCAUGUGGAAUGGUUCAGAAAUAGAUGGUACGGCGAGAUGAUCCGUUUGAUAGCAGUCGGAGAGAGGAACCGUCCGCAUAGAAGCUGUCGGCGUGGAAUUCGAUUGGCUUGGUUUGGAUGUUUGAUCUGGCGAUCUCGGCGACAGCAGGUUACAGGCGGCUCUCAACAGAAUCUUGUAGCAGCAUGAUACAUGUGGCUCUCGGCGAUAACGUGCAGCAGAAUCCUUGGCGUCGACGAGAUCGAUGGACAGCAGAGGCGGCCCACACGUUGACUAAUACGUCUCCAACAUAUCUAUAAUUUUUUAUUGUUCCAUGCUAUUAUAUUAUCUGUUUUGGAUGUUAAUGGGCUUUAUUUUUACACUUUUAUAUUAUUUUUGGGACUAACCUAUUAACCGAAGGCCCAGCCCAAAUUGCUGUUUUUUUGCCUAUUUCAGUGUUUCAUAGAAAAGGAAUAUCAAACGGAGUCCAAACGGAAUGAAACCUUUGGGAACGUGAUUUUUAGAACAAACGUGAUCCAGAGGACUUGGAGUGGACGUCAAGCAAUCAACGAGGCAGCCACGAGGCAGGGGGCGCGCCUUCCCCCCUGGACGCGCCCUCCCCCCUCGUGAGCCCCUCGUAGCUCCACUAACCUACUUCUUCCUCCUAUAUAUGUUCACAUACCCCGCAAACAUCCAGGAGCACCACGAAACCCUAUUUCCACCGCCGCAACCAUCUGUACCCAAGAGAUCCCAUCUUGCGGCCUUUUCCGGAGCUCCGCCAGAGGGGGCAUUGAUCACGGAGGGUCUGUACAUCAAGUCCAUGGCCCCUCCGAUGAUGUGUGAGUAGUUUACUUCAGACCUUCGGGUCCAUAGUUAUUAGCUAGAUGGCUUCUUCUCUCUCUUUGGAUCUCAAUACAAAGUUCUCCUCGAUUCUCUUGGAGAUCUAUUCGAUGUAAUCUUCUUUUGCGGUGUGUUUAUCGAGAUCCGAUGAAUUGUGGGUUUAUGAUCAAGUUUAUCUAUGAACAAUAUUUGAAUCUUCUUUGAAUUCUUUUAUGUAUGAUUGGUUUAUCUUUCCAAGUCUCUUCGAAUUAUCAUUUUGGUUUGGCCUACUAGAUUGAUCUUUCUUGCAGUGGGAGAAGUGCUUAGCUUUGGGUUCAAUCUUGCGGUGCUCGAUCCCAGUGACAGAAAGGGAAACGACACGUAUUGUAUUGUUGCCAUCGAGGAUAAAAAGAUGGGGUUUACAUCAUAUUGCAUGAGUUUAUCCCUCUACAUCAUGCCAUCUUGCUUAAGGCGCUACUCUGUUCUUAUGAACUUAAUACUCUAGAUGCAUGCUAGAUAGCGGUCGAUGUGUGGAGUAAUAGUAGUAGAUGCAGGCAGAAGUCAGUCUACUUGUCACGGAUGUGAUGCCUAUAUACAUGAUCAUGCCUAGAUAUUCUCAUAAUUAUUCGCUUUUCUAUCAAUUGCUUGACAGUAAUUUGUUCAUCCACCGUAAUACUUAUGCUAUCUUGAGAGAAGCCACUAGUGAAACCUAUGGCCCUCGGGUCUAUUUUCCAUCAUACAAGUUUCCAAUAUAUUUAUUUUGCAAUCUUUACUUUCAAUCUAUAUCAUAAAAAUACCAAAAAUACUUAUCUUAUAAUUAUCAUCUCUAUCAGAUCUCACUCUUGCAAGUGACCGUGAAGGGAUUGACAACCCCUUUAUUGUGUUGGUUGCGAGGUUCUUAUUUGUUUGUGUAGGUACAAGGUGACUCGCGCGUGGUCUCCUACUAGAUUGAUACCUUGGUUCUCAAAAAUUGAGGGAAAUACUUACGCUACUUUGCUGCAUCACCCUUUUCUUUUCAAGGAAAAUCCAACACAGUGCUCAAGAGGUAGCAUCGACGAGAUCGAUGGACAGCCUAAGAACUACGACAAAUAUGACCUGAGGCAUAAACUGUGGAGGGGGCGCCAUACACAGCUAGGAAUCAAUGUUGUGUGUUCUAGCGGUGCCCCCCUCAUAUAUAUAUAUAUAUAUAUAUAUAUAUAUAUAUAUAUAUAUAUAUAUAUAUAUAUAUAUAUGGAAUAGGGAGAGGGGCUGCAAGGGGCGCCCCAAGUAGGAUUAAUCCUACUUGGGCGCCUCCCACAAGUCGGCCUCCCCCCUUCCAUAUGUGUCGGAGGGAAGGAAAGAGACACUACAAGAAAUAUGUCAACUUGUGACCUUGACUAUUGGUCACUGAAAGGUCAUUGUUUUUCAUUUGUGACCUUUUUUGACCAAAAACAGAAGGUCAAAAGCUGGCGGUCGUAAACUGAAAUUAACGACCUUCUCUGUGAGAAGGUCGUGGACGUUUACGACCAAAAUAUGUCUAUUGUUUUGUUUUGGUCGCUAGCAGCCUCCCCAGGCCACGUAGGCAUCCGACGUGGCAAUCUGAUGUGGCACAAGAAUCAGCCCGGUCCAAUUCGAUGUUUUACAUGGGUCGAGCCCAUUAAUUCAGCCUUUUUAACAUAUAUUUUUUCUGUUUAUUUUCGGUAGCUACAUCGGCCUGGCCCAACAUUUUAGCCUUUUUAUUUCAUGGAUCAUGGCCUUUUUGUGGUCUAUUUCGCUUUUGGGCCUCAGCCUUUUUAUUUACUUGGCCAUCGCCUUUUCACAAUUGAUUCUUUUAGUAAUUUUGUUCUUUUUUCCUGAAUUGUUUGAUUUGUGGCCUUUUUAGGGCCCAAAUAAUAUAUGUUUCAUUUCCGACAUAUCAACAAUAAAGUAACCAGUAUUUUGGUCCAGAGAGCCCCAAUCACACAAAUUUUCAUAAAUGGCGACCAAAAUGAGUAUUUUAUAUAUAUUACAAUCAUGCCAUAGUUCACAUCAUCCAGGAAUUUAGAACAACUACAAAAGUGCUGCUAUGAAAUACUAUAACAGCCAUUCACAUCAUCCAGGAACAUAUAAUUAGCUACAAAGAUGGUGUUCCCUUUUUCCAACUUCUUGAGCCUGGAGCUCCUGUAAAAGACAGGAAACGAUCAUUAUCAUGGCUGUGAAUUCAGAAUGAAAGCAAUAUCCUCAAACAUACAACAGCUAGGAAAAGAAUAUUGAACAGAAUAAUAAACAAAUACACAAGCAGCUAGGGGUCGAUCCUAAUGCAUGAGGGCACGGAUAACAGUAGCAACCAUGAGUAAAUAUUAGCAAAUAUUAUAUUGGUGGAAAAAAGUAAAUACCAGCAAGCUCUAAGAAGACUCCAAGAAAUUGAUGGCUCACAAUACAAUCAUGCUUUUGACAACAAAUACUACUAGAAUUAAGGCGCAAAACAUAUUCUAAGCAGUGUUAACAUCAUGGCAGUAACAAUUAACAGUAGCAGCUAGCAGGACAUCAAUCAAGCACAACAAAAGUACAACACCACACUUGGGAUCUCGGAGCAAGGAAAAGAUCAUGUUGCUUAGGAGAUACGAUCAAGGGCAAAAACAAGUUGGUAUGAUAUGAUUCAUUCAUUCGUUCUCAUCACGAUCAUACAUUGAAUUCAUUAAACGUUACGGAUUCAUUUUUUGACAUAGCAUUGGAAAAUCACAAGAAUAGUAUAUGAACCAAAGUGUCCAGAUAAGUAGAUAACACAUGGAGGUCACAAUCACAUAGCAAAGGAAGAGUGGGACAGACCAAGGACUUACCCUCUAGACAAAUCAAAGACUUCACACUUCCUCUUCCUCGGUGGACAAAUCAAUGACUUCACUUCCUCUUCGUCAUGCAUCAACAUGAAGACCAUCUCAAACACCUUGGUGCCAACAAGAAACUGUACUCACACAGUGAAUAGAACAAAAGAACAGAAAGCACACAUAUAUACUGAACAAAAGCAAUAGCCAGGAAUAGAUGACUUAAGAGUUCAUGUUUGUUAACAAAACAAGUGUGGACAUCUCACAGUGAGUUAACUAUCUAAUGACUUUAGUAAAACACAUACUAGCAUUUGGUGCUACAAGAGACAAUAGGAAUCCAACUAUCCCAACAUCCCAACUUGGUAAAUCCAUGCUGCUAAAAGGACAAUCCUAAUCGGGUUGGAACUGGACCUUGUUUCACACAUGUGAGCUACAACUAUCGUAAUACCACAGCCCCAAAAAAACCUACAGAUCCAUCAAACUACUAUUUGUAGGUCUGGCAUCAGUGGUGUCACAACGUACAGUCCACUUACAGUCAUUUGGGAGAAAAUUAAAGUGAUAAUUAGACUGCCAUUACAAUCUGCUGGUAACUUGCAGUCUACUUACAGCUACAAUGAUAUCUUAAGAGUUACAGUCUAAAUACACAAAACUUAAGAACAUGGGAAUAAACAGACCAACCCCCACAUUCCAAUAAUUCAAACACUCAGCAGUCAAAUGUGUAUGCGUGUGCAUGUAAAUGUAUCGAGGUUAUGCAAAACUAUGGUGCAUUUAAACUAUGAUAUCAUUUGGUCCGCACAUUUAGAUCACUUGGCAUCACUAAACUACAAAUCUAGGUAAUCUGAUCCUCUAUGAAGGAGCUCAACAUACAUGGCACCACAGACCAUCCAUCCAUGACGAACACUAGAAAUCAACAAGAAUAGCAAGCACAUAGUUUAGCAGCACGCAGAGUAUGCCGGAGUGCAUCCAUCAGCAACAGCAUCAGUGGAAACAAAUUUAAAUCCAUGGCAAACUGUAGCAGAAGAUCCAUCCAUGGCUGGAUUGAUAUGAAACAGUGAGCAAACAACAGAGAGGGGGAGGGGAGGAGCUCACCAUGGCAUGGGAAGAGGUCAUGGACUCAUGGUCGUGGUCGUGGUCAUGGUCCGGCGCAGACAGAAGGAAAUGGGGGAGGGGUCGAAUCUGCAACAUGAGUCUACCACAUAUGAGAGGAGAUUGACUUGGCAGCUCGAUGGGGACGCAAGGAGGAGGAGGAGAGGGCGUACGUACCUUGGGCCUCCAGUCCAGGUCGUCGGAGAUGCACCGGGGUCGAGGGCCACCGCAGCAGCAAGCUUUGCUGUGGUGUGGUGUGUCGCGCCCCACUAUGAGAAGGGGGCGGAUCCUGUCGCGCUGCUGGUGCAGCAGCCGCUGCAGGUGGGUGCGAAUCCGGCCGCGGCGUCAUCGUCGCCGGAGCAGAUGCGUCCCGUCCCAUCCAUCCAUGGGUGGGUGCGAAUCCGGUGGCGAUCGUCGGAGCAGAUGCGCCCCAUCCCAUCCAUCCAUGGGUGGGUGGAACUAAGGACAGAGGUCGCGGCGGGGAUGGGGUCGCCGGUGGGGGUGGGGGAGAGCUUGGCGGUGGUGGCGGCGGAGAGGAAUCGUGGGUGGGGGGGAUCAGCCGAGCAGGAGCUGCCAAAAGCUCUGUCGAUCUGGGUCGGGAUCGGGAUGCAGAGCGAGGUGGGAGGGAGGGAGUUCCUGCCAGAUCUAGCCACGGCAUGAGCAGCUCGAGUCGAUCUAGGAGGAAAUGGGAGGGGCUGCCGGCGAUGAGGUUGGAGGUCGCCGGUGCGACUGGAGAAGAGGACGGCGGCGGAUUGGGUCUGGCGUUAGGGAGAGAGGCGGAUUGGGAGACGACCGACCGCGGCCUCCGUCAUCACCGUGGACGCAGCCACCUGCGAGGGCGGCCGGCAGGUGACGCGGUGGGCGCCGCUGCGGGACGGGGAGGAGGCGGCGGCGGCGAGGAGCCGAGGAAGGAGGAGUACAGGUGCGGGUUAGGGUUUGGGAGGGAUGGGAUCGGGGGUGGGUGGGAGACGAGAGGGGGUGUGGGAGGGAUGGAUCGGGGUGGGUGGGUCUAUGGGGUUUCCCCUUUGAAUUUUCUUUUUUUUCUUUUUUGUUCUCUAUAGAUAAAUGGAUGGAUGGAUGUGGGAUGAUGGAUGGAUGGAUGGGCGCCAUGUCAUCAAUCCGUGUCAAACCAACUCCACCAAUGGGAAUAGAGUAUAUGUGAUUCGUGUAUUUUCUUUUGUUUUUCUUCUACUUUUACACAUGAAAAAAUAAAAAAAUGGUCUCACAUUGUGCACAAGUUUGUAUCUUGAAUGACAAACAAUGUUGACUUUGGAGUUUUUCAUUUUUUUGCACAAAAAUUUUGUUUUCCAUUUUUUGAGUGUCCAAAAUGAGAUUUUUUGUGAAUGACGUACCAAAUAUUUGUUGCAAAAUUGGACCAAAUUAUUUUUAUAAAAUAUUAGUCCAUAUUCAAUGCAUAAUUUACCAAAUGGUUGGGUGCCAAAAGGUUUCAAUCCACCUCUUGUGAAAAAGAAAAAACUAUGCUGAUUCAGCUGGAAGCGGGUCAAAUUUGAACUAGAGGUGCCUCAUAGUUUGCUCAUGAUUUUUUACAAAAAUCAUUUUUAGGUAAAUAAGUAUCUAUUUAAUUAGAGAUCCAACAAAAUUUUGGCAAGAUUCAACCCCUAGCUAUGAACAGCCAUGCCCGCUGUUUCGACCGCAUUUUGAAAGGGGCAUAACAAAUUCAAAAAAAUGCAAAACCUUCGCGUUGUGUCAUCAUAUGUGACCAAGUUACCAGAAAAAAUAAUAAACUUGUAAUACGGUAAUUAUUUUAAAAAAUGUUCUCAGAAAUGAGCUAACAUGCGUGAAGAUUCAUGACUUUCAAGCCAAAUGAUCACUCUUAUGGCCACAUUCAUGGCAUAGUUUGUUCAAAUGAUCUCAUAUUGUGCACAAGGGUGCAUCUUGGAAUUCGAAACAAUGUUGCCUAAGGGAGUUUUCAUUUUCUUUGCACGAAAAAUUCAUUUUCUAUUUUUCGAGUGCUCGAAAUGAGGUUUUUUUGAAGGGCCUACCAUAGAUUUGUUGCAAAAUUGUACCAAAUCAAAUUUCGAAAAUACUAGGACAUAUUUAAUGCACAAUUGACCAAAUGGUUGGGUGUAAAAAGUUUUGAUCCACUUCUCGUGAAAAGACAAAUUCCCGCCGAUUUAGUUGGAAGCGGGUCAAAUUUGAAUUGCAGCUGCCUCAUAGUUUGCUCUUUAAUUUUUCCAAAAAUUAUUUCUAGAUACAUAAGUAUCUAUUUAAUCAGAGAAACACCAAAAAAAUACAAGAUUCAACCACUAGCUAGGAACGGUCAAGCCCGCUGUUUUGACCGCAUUUUGAAACUGGCAUAAAAUAUUCAAAAAAAUCAAAAAAUUGGAAUACCUUCGCAUUGUGUCAUUAUAUGUGACCAUGUUUCCAGGAAAAAUAAUAAACUUGUAAUACGAAAAUUAUUUUAAAAAAGUGUUCUCAGAAAUGAGCUAUCAUGCGUGAAUAUUCAUGGCUUUCAAGCCAAAUGAUCAAUCUUAUGGCCACAUUCUUGGUAUAGUUUGUUCAAAUGAUUUCAUAUUGUGCACAAGGGUGCAUCUUGGAAUUCCAAACAAUGUUGCCUAAGGGAGUUUUCAUUUUCUUUGCACGGAAAAUACAUUUUCCAUUUUCCGAGUGCCCGAAAUGAGUUUUUUUGUGAAGGACCUACCAUAUAUUUGUUGCAAAAUUGGACCAAAUCAAUGUUCUAAAAUACUAGGCCAUAUUUAAUGCAUAAUUGACAAAAUGUUUGGGUGUCAAAAUUUUUGAUCCACCUCUGGUGAAAAAGACAAAUUCCCGCCGAUUCAGCUGGAAGCGGGUCAAAUUUGAACUGCAGCUGCCUCAUAGUUUACUAUUUAUUUUUUUUCCAAAAAUCAUUUAUAGUUACAUAAGUACCUAUUUAAUCAUAAAUACAUGGUUUGGUGGCAAUACGUCGAGGUUUGGGCAGUGUCCGAGGCCCCCCACUCUAGAGCGCGUAAACUCGCAUGCCCGGCGCGUGGUCACCAUGUGACCGUGGCGUUGCCAUGUGUUCUGGGCAGCCUAGGCAUGUCUAGUGGGUUGGGCACUCCCCAGGUAGGUGCUAGGAAGAAAAUUACAAUAUAAGAUUCUCACGAGGAGACCGAUCGAUGCUCAAACAUGAAUUAGCAAGCAAGUGUUUGAUUAGCGGUACGGGAAAUGUACAUGGCUAAUGAGCGUGAGUUUUGGCUGAGGAUGAUCAGUUACUAAGAAGACCGUCUUCACAAAUUUUCAGCUCAAAAGGAGGAGCCUAGGUGGUACUUGCUUUGCAAACUACCACACUGGACAUAAAUACAAAUGUUGAAGUUCCGCUCAAAAUAGUGAAUGGAUUGAGCUGACAUUUGGUGGAGGAUGGUUAUUUGGGUAGAGGAAAGCACUGUAGAAAAUGGAUACCAUUUGGACAUGCCAAAGUGGUACUUCCUUCGCAAAGUGUUUUCUGAACAUAAUAGGAAAAUGAAUAUUUUUGAAUUAUUUUUGAACAUAAUAAAUGACGAAUAUAUGACGAAUAUAUGACCCAAAGAAUUUAUGAGAUUUUUUGGGAAUUUUGGGAAUGACAGAAAUAUAGGUUGCUUCACAACGUAGGGCAUAAACUGCCACAUGGACAUGACACAUAGGCAAAACUGAUGAGGUGGCGCCUAGUCAUAGCAAUGCACCACAAUUUACAAGGUUAUGACCAUCUAUAUUGGUCAUGAUCAGCUAGAAAUAAUGCAGCGGAGCAAUGCUAUCUGCUUUAUGACCAUUUCGUGUAAGGAAAUUACGACCUUUCUGACCAAAAUGGUCGUUAUAGUUUAGGGUUUGGAGCCCCCCGAACAGCUUUUGACCAAUUGGUCUGAAAUGGUCAUAGAUUUAUGACCAAUUCUUCCAGGGUCACUGACAGAAGGUCACUAGUUGACAUAUUUCUUGUAGUGAGAGGGGGGAGGGGAAGGAAAGGGGGAGGCUGAAUCCUCCCCUUUCCUUCUCCCUUCCCUUCCUUUUCUUCUCCUCCUAUUCGGCCUAUAGGGGGCUUACCAGCUCCUUUGGGGCUGGUAUGUCCCGCUCUUGGCCCAUUAGGCCCAUAUAGCUUGCCGGGGGUCGCCCGGAACCCCUUUCGGUGACCCGAUACAUACCCGGUACCCCCGGAACACUUCCAUUAUCCAAAUACGAUCGUCAUAUGUAUGAAUAUUUACGUCUCGACCAUUUCGAGACUCCUCAUCAUGUCUGUGCUCUCAUCCGGGACUCCGAACAACAUCCGGUCACCAAAUCACAUAACUCAUAUAAUACAAAAUCGCCAUCGAACGUUAAGCGUGGGGAGCCUGCGGGUUCGAGAACUAUGUAGACAUGACCGAGACACCUCUCCGGUCAAUAACCAACAGCGGAACCUGGAUGCUCAUAUUGGUUCCCACAUAUUCUACGAAGAUCUUUAUCGGUCGUACUGUAAUGACAACAUAUGUUAUUCCCUUUGGUAUCGGUAUAUUACUUUCCCAAGAUUCGAUCAUCGGUAUCUUCAUACCUAGUUCAAUCUCGUUACCGGAAAGUCUCUUUACUCGUUCUGUAGUACUCACACCGUAACUAACUCAUUAGUCACAUUGCUUACAAGGCUUAUCAUGAUGUGUAUUACCGAGAGGGCCCAGAGAUACCUCUCUGAUACUCGGAGUGACAAAUCCUAAUCUCGAUCUAUGCAAACCCAACAAACACCUUCGGAGAUACCUGUAGAGCAUCUUUAUAAUCACCUAGUUACGUUGUGACGUUUGAUAGCACACAAGGUAUUCCUCCGGUAUCCGGGAGUUGCAUAAUCUCAUAGUCAAAGGAAUAUGUAUAUGACAUGAAGAAAGAAUAGCAAUAAAACUUAACAAUCAUUAUGCUAAGCUAAUGAAUGGGUCUUGUCCAUCACAUCAUUCUCCUAAUGAUGUGAUCCCGUUCAUCAAAUGACAACACAUGUAUAUGGUUAGGAUAUGUUGCUAAUUGCACACGUGGUUCUACCAUGAGGUUGACAGGUCAGUAGCACGUCCAUAAGGUUCGGAGAAGCCUAGAGUGCGGCGUGGAGGGAUCAUGCAUAUAUAGGGCGUUCAGCAAUGCACAAAGAUGUGCGGGGAGGACACGACACAGGGUGGAGCAUGGUUGAAGUCAGAUAAUUUCGGUUGGGUCGGACUGGACUGUCUAACAGAUCGACGGUGAUGUUGGUCUAAGCAGAAGAUGUUGGUGAUUUGAGCGACGACGAUAUAGGUGCGUGAUGCUGAUGGUGACGUACUUCUGGGGCGUGUAAACACAUGGUGUAGGCCUGAGGGCUUGUGCAGCUUCGACAAGACUAUGUCACAGGGUUGAUUCAAGGCAGUGCACACAUGUGAGAGCUUGAAGUCGACAAUGUGCGAAGUAGCAAGGCGCAGCUACAUGGAAUCAUGUUGAAGGUGGAGCUGAAGUCUGGUCAAGACUUCACUCUGUGUUGAUGGAGGGGCUAUGGCGUAAGUUAACGGAGAGUCGAAGCCUAUUUCAACGGGGACACGUGGAUCGGACUGGGUACCAGUGGUCUGAUGAAGACAUGAUACUCGGCAUCAGUCAGUGAUGAUUGGUGGUUCUCUAUAGUGGGGGUUGCGUGGUGUAGGUUCUCAACCUUGAGAGACUCGACCAGGAUAGCAGAGGCUCGGCGCGGUGAUAGCGACCAGGCGUGCGGUAAGAACGGGACAUAGCAACAGACCAAGGCACUGGUGGUCAGACAUGUGGUCAUACAAAGUGUGCAGGGGUGCUGAAGCAGUGUUGAUGAGUACCAGAUUCAAGUUGGAAACUGGGUCUAUUGAUGCCGGUUGAUGGACAGGAGUUGACCAUGGAGAAUUUGAGAAAGUGACGGAAAGUCUAAAAUUGUCAAAAGCUGAGAGAGUACAUGGCUGCAUAUUCUGUGGUGUUCAGUGCACAUGGCAAAGUGCGGAUGAUAAGUACAGAAGGAGGCGGAGUGCUAUAGGUGUCGGACAUGCCAGAGACUAUCUGGGAAAAGGAUGAGACAACUGCGACUUUGACUCAGGGUGACACAGGGCGACGGUGAAAUUCCUUCAAGUUUCCGCCAGACGGUCAAGAAAGAACGAUGAUGUUGACUUCAGGUAACUCUUAUAUGUGGCGUCCAAUAUGUGAGUUGUUCAUCACGCAGACAGUGGUCGGUGUGUGAUGGCAUUGAACGGAUACUCCGAAAGUUGGGAGCACAAAGUAGAGUAAAGAGGAAUUUAACUUUACUCGAGUGUUGACUGUGAAGAAGACGAGAAGGGACUACAGUUACAGGUGGAGUCACGUGGAGUCUAGGAGUAGCAGCGGUGCUCAUGGCGUAUCUCAAGUCCAAUGUACAAGGAGGUUCGACGCAUGGAUGAAUCCAAGGUGGUGGAGAAUAUUCGCCAAGAUGGAGUUUGUUAGGGCUGUGUCGAAUAUUUUUGUACAAGAUCGGUUACAGUUGGACACUGAGUAGUAUUAUGUUUACAUGGUGUGGAGUCGUGUCCUAAUAGAACAUUUCUAUUCUAGCCUCUCAUAUAUAGCAAGGAUAGACACACGUUGCAACCUAUGCCAACAUAAUAGCAUGGGCACGCGAGGGAGCCGACGGCGUGUGCUGGGGCCCGGGCGGCCGGGGUGCGGUAUUGUAGUGGUGUCAUGAGGAGGAGCGCCCGUAGUCAGGCCCCAGGGAUGUAGCCAUAUCGGUGAACCUCGUUAACAAAUCUCCGUGUCCUGCUUGUGUGAUUCCUUGCUCCUCGGUAGAUCGACGGAGCGCUUUGGAUUUAUUCUAACGUUAUACAUUCUCGGGUCCGCUAACACCAGUGUUUCGACCCAUCUGCGUCGCCAGACCCAAUCGGAGAGUAAGACCGACUUAUGAGAGGCCUUGGGCCCUCUCCCCCGAUAAGACUAGCCUGUUAGGAGGGGACACCCCCAUCCUUAUAAGUCCUGUUAUGUCUCGCCCCACAACCGAUGUGGGACUAAACCCAACAAUCUCCCCCUCACACAUUGGUCAUCCAUGGGUCCGCUAACACCAGCGUUUUUAGCCCACCAACCAUGGCCAACCACUCGUGAGUCCACCGAGAUUUAUUCCGGGGACCUGGGCUCUAAUACUACUUUUUACGCAAUCUCGGGUCUGCUAACACCGGCGUUCCGACCCAUCUGCAUCGCCAGACCCAACCGGAGAGCAACACCGACUUAUGAAAGGCCUUGGACCCUUUUUCCCAAAAGACUAGCCUGUUAGGAGGGGACACCCCCACCCUUAUAAUUCGUGUUAUGUCUCUUCCAUAACCGAUGUGGGACUAAACCCAACACCCUUUACGUCAGGUCAUCGUCCAUAGAAUACAUCUCACCGUAGAAAGCACACACCGGAUGUGGAGAGAGGAAACCUCACGAAGACAUUUCAAGUGCUCACCGGAGUAUACAACAAUGCUGCGACCAUAUGACGUAGUGGUCAUAAGUCAUAACACAGACCAACAACAAUGACGAAGGACAUUACGCAGAUUCCCAUCUCGCCGGAGAGAGCCCGGUCGAGCUCUGUCGGUCCGGGGGCCGACAUGGCUGGAUCUAAGGGCACGAAAGACAGAUUUGUUCGGCGGCCAAGAACCAAGGCACCACAAGGCUCCGGCGAAGCACACAUGGCUCUAAGCCCACCAUCCCGUCGACACCAGCCAAGGCGUCUGCCACCGCACCGCCAGAGGAUGAUCUCCUAUGGGCGCUCGCACAAGCAGCACGGGACAGCGCGGCGGAGGGGAGUGCGGACCUUGCUGGCCAUGCAGCCAAGGCCAAAGGCCAGAACCAGCGGCCGCUGCUCUCCGGCGACCCGCCACCACCUGAGGCCACCGCUGCUCUCUGGGAAGCGGAAGGGAGGGCCGGCGGCGUCAAUGGUUGUUACCGCCCGAGUCCCUCCUGCGGGAACAACGCGGGGGCUAAUCGUAUUUGCUAUCAACAUUGCAUUAUCAAAGUAACAAUGAGUCAUUGUGAAAACAAGCAAGCACGUGUCGAAGAAUCAUAUCAUUGGGAGGAAUAUUCUUUGCGCUUUGACCUCCUUAUCAAAUCCCUCGAGUUCGCCAAGCUAGUGGUAACUCUUGAAGCUCCUGCAUGCACUGCUUUGUUACCGCCAAGUUGCUUUUGCUCUGAUAAAACCACCAAAUUAACUGUGGAGGCCUAUAGAUUAAAAAUAUUGCAUAUCAACAAAAUGGUGACUUACAAUAAUUGCAUGAACAACAGACUAAGACUUUGCCAGAACAUUUCUGAAGCGCAAUUCCUCUUGGCAGGCUCUUCUCUUGUCCUCAACUACGUUACUUUGCUCGUAGUAGUAUUUACUGUUGCUCAUUGUCUGGUAGAAGAGAGCUUAGAGGUGGCCCUUUGUUUAAUACGGUACAAACCUGCGCGUGAUGGUUUAGCUUAUGAUUGUAAGAACCUGUGAUUGUGCAGUAAAGCUCUCCCCUUUCAACAAUACAAUAAAAUGACAACUCACUUUCAAUUUAACAUCCUACUAGAGCCCAGGGGUUUCAUUAACUCUGCACAUUUGGUUUAUUUGGUUCGGUAAAUACAGUUUCUUGGUCUGUAUGGUAUCCAUAUACUUCAGUAAAUACAAUUUGAAAUUGAAAAACGGUUUGGUUUUGGUAUAUACAAAAAUAUUUCAGUAUGGUUUCGGUACAUACCAAAAUAAGGAAUUUGAAAUAAGGAAACAAUUUUAGUUCUGGCCAUCAAUUUCAGUGACUGAAUAUUUCCUAUCGAUCAUUUUCAGACCACCUGAAACGCGGUUCUGCACAAGAACACGAGCAUAACUAGUAUAGCUAGUAGCCUAGUAUCCUUGUAAAAAUGAAUAAUUACAGAACACAUACUCUAGAUUACCUCUGCAACAUUACAGGCAAAUGGAUUCAUGGAUGGACAAACUUUACAAACUAAUUAGGACAUCUAGGAAUAUAGCAGGAAUCACGUGGAUAUACCUCUGCAAACUGCAAGUAGUCAUCAGAACUUUUGUUCAGAGAAUGUAGCAGGAAUCACGUCAGAGUUGUAAGCCUGAUGAAAUGAAAUGAAACUGUGAUAAAGCACAAGCAUAAAUAGUAGUCCACUUCACACGAUUAGAGUUUAAAAGUACUCCCUCUGUAAACUAAUAUAAGAGCGUUUAGAUCACUAAAAUAGUAAUCUAAACGCUCUUAUAUUACUUUACGGAGGGAGUACUAAUUAGGACAUGUAUGUUACGAUAUGCUAUAUUGCUGCCACUCUCAGCCAUCUGUUGACCUGAACUUCUGAAGACGAACAUAUAAAAAUAACAAGAUGCAGAGUUAGAUUUAGAGCCACAAGUGAUAGGUUCCUCUUUUUUUCAACAAAGGAUGAAUUUUAUUGGAUUAAAAUGAAGCAUUAAGAGGAUACAAAACAGAUGACCAUACAUCCUGCCUCUGCAUAACUAGGAUGCACAUAACCACCAACACACACGCAAAAACACGCCGAGAACUAGCAAAGUCAUAUAAGACAAAAUCUAUGUUAUGCGUAGGCGAGGAAAAAAAAUAUCCCUAAGCGAUCAGAUCGGCAAUCGGUAAACCAUAUCUGUACCAGCCAUCUUAUGACAUCGAAUAGACAACGAGGUUCUUCAACAAUAAGGACUUUAGGAAGGAAGUGGCGCUCAAGCGCCGCCAUCACCGGAUCAAACGAACAAGGCCAGAAUCUAAGAUUUCACAAUGAAGAAUUAGUUUGAGCAUAUCCAAGCAAUGUCUUCAACAAGGUAACGACGUAAAAAACAUCAACGUUGCCAUUGCCAUGUAUAACCAACUCCGUCCAGAUCAGGGUUUCACCCUGGAGCUCAAGACCUGGUGCACUUUUUUUUUGAAUAGUUUGGAUUGCUUACCACACAUGUGUCAUGUGAUAGAUCGGGUGCACUAGUAGCACUACCAUCACAGUAACAUGCGUUAUCGCCACCAUUUUUCCACGAUCCCAGUAGUUAAAUAUGCUAUGGGACCGCCACCGAUGCACAACCAUCCUUUUGGGUCAAGCCGUCAUCUAUAGUUUGCAUCUCAUCACUGAAGUCAACCACCGGAUCUGAAGAGAUGAACCCUCUUGAAGAUCUUUUAGUGACAACUAUUGUCGUGGAGCCACAGGAGGUCCCUACAUCAUAGUCUCCAACCACCACCACCUGGCCGAUCAAGCCCACCUGAUUUCACAACCACGUCGGCUUGCUAACAUGCCCUGUUUCGAUCUAGUGGACCAGCAGGAGGGGCUUAUUGCUUGAGGUGGGAUGGUUGUUAAUCAAGCAUUAGCAAUACAACACACUAGCAGCAUAACAAAUCUCCAACAUCAAUCGACCAAUUUCGUGCAAUUUUCUUGGCUGUGCGCGGUUGGGACGCAAGAGAGCCAUAGUGGCGAGGGCCGGUGGGCUGCUGGUGUCAGUGGUGGGGGGAUUUUUUUUUUUGAGGAAAGCCACUAGGGCUUACAACCUGAUCAAACAGCUAUUACAGUCCCUGGUAACCAAGGGAAGGAUAUCAGUAGGAACAGUAGCAAGCAUGCUACAAUCGCCAUGCACUCGGGCGAGGGCCGCCAGCUCAUGCGCCACACUGUUGCACGUUCUGCUGAUCACUGAGAUUGCAAUCUCCUGAAAGUUCUGCAUGACAAGUUUAAUGUCAGCAAUGGUAUAGUGCAGGGCUGCUUUCUUCGGUGAUUCAGGUUUUAGGAGUAGUCCAAGAGAAGCACAGUCAGUUUCCACUAUGACUUUGCCUCUGAAUCUAGCGGCUAGCUCCUGCAGGCCAUAUUUAAGGGCCAAGGCAUCCGCUUCCUCUGCAUUUGCACACGUCUCCAGCCUUCGACAACCCGAAAGAGCCACUACACCAAGCUGGUCUCUGACGACCCAUCCGGCAGACGCUUGUCCGUCAGUGCACCUGAAUGCUGCAUCCGUGUUCAGUUUCCACCAGCCAACCGGAGGGGCUGCCCAAAGCUUGGGUUUGGCAGUCUGUUCGACACUCACUUUGCUGUCAGGGAACAAGGAUUGUUUUCCUUUUUCGUCGUCUUGCAGCUCCAUGCACUGGAUUACUUCUAGUUCGUACUUCUUCAAGAAUUCCAGAGAGACAGUAAUUGAAGCUUUUCCUUCCUCAUGCACAAUGUUGUUGCGGAGAUGCCACGCUCUCCAGAUUAUUAGAAGGAUUCUUCUUCUAGUUACUUCAUCACAUGCACUCAACAGGCAUAAAAGCCAGUCAUUUUCGGUGUACUGAAAUUUCUCCUCCGCCGGCAACUUCCAGGCUUUCCGGAUUUCAGACCGAAGCGCGUUUGCCUUAGUACAGGCAAUCACUGCAUGAUACUCUGUCUCAUCCUCCAUUCCACAGAUCGUGCACGUGGCCAUUUUCUCCAGGGUUCUGUGUUGCUUAUUCUCUCUAGUAGCAAGUGAUUCUGUAGCAAUUCUCCAGCCCGUUAUUAACCUUUUGAGGAACUUGAGCCUGCCAUAUUAGAUUCCAAAUGCUUCUAUUAUCUGACGGGUUAGAGGAGCUUGAUGACGGAGGGUUAUCUCUUUCGCUGAUUUGAGUAGCAAGCCGGUACGCACUUUUAACUGAAAAAAUGCCCGAUUUCUCCAUGUGCCAGGCAAUGCAGUCCUCUGUUUUCCUCGAGGGUAGUUUUAUCCUACAGAUUUCUUCUGCAUCAAAGGAAUGGAACAUUUGUUUUACCAUGUCAGCUUUCCAUUCAUUCCUAUCAGCAUGGAUCAGCUGGUUCACCCAACGGAGCCUCGAUCUUCUCAUAAACUUUAUCGGCUUCAGUCCUGAUUGUCUUGGGACCCAGUUGUCCCUUUCAAUGCGGAUUUUAUUCCCGUCACCCACUCUCCAGAUGAGACCCUCUUUAAGGAGCUCAAGUCCAAACUCAAUACCCCUCCAGGCCGGAGAUGCAUCAGAGGCAAAGACUGUAUCCAAAAUAUCCCCAUUGGGAUAGUACUUUGACUUCAGAACACGUGCACAUAGGCUCUCUGGUUUUUGUAUUAGCCUCCAACCUUGCCUCGCUAGGAGAGCUUGGUUAAACAAGUGCACGUCCUUGAAGCCAAUCCCACCUCCUUUUUUCGGUUUGACCAUAUCUUUCCAGGCCAUCCAGUGCACUUGCCGAUGUCCUUCUUCAUCGCCCCACCAGAAGUCACGAAUCAGCUUCUCAUACUUUUCACAGAAGCCCUUAGUCAUUUUGAACACACCCAUAGGAUAGGAGGCAAGAGCUUGAGCCACAGAUUUGAUAUGCACUUCUUUUGCUGCUUGUGACAUAUAUCUCUCACACCAGUCCGAGCAUCUCUUAGAGAAUCUCUCCAUGAUGGGUUGCAACCGUUCCUCUUUCAUUCUCCCUUCUGGGGUAGGGAGGCCCAAAUAUUUGCUUUCGAAAGAAGAUGCUACUACUCCAAGGGCGUUUUUUAUUUCUACCUGCACACCAUCCGGGCAUGCUUCACUAAACAGCAGUGAGCAUUUCUGAGGGCUAAGUAGUUGUCCGGAUCCUUUUUGGAAGCACUCAAGCACCUCUCUAAUGACUGUAGCCUCCUAGACCGUGGCCUUAAAGAAUAGCAGGCUAUCGUCUGCGAACAAUAAGUUUGAGACCCCAGGACUUCCUCUUGCUAUUUUGAUGGGAGUCAACUUCCCGCAUACCACCUCGCUGUGGAGAGCAUAGGUUAAGCAAUUAGCCACCAGUAGGAACAGAUAGGGGCUCAGGGGAUUGCCUUGUCUUAAGCCUCGUGAAGGUUUAAAGAAAUCCAAAAUCUCACCAUUCCAUUUUACUGCAUACCUCACUGAUUUUACACAGCUCAUGAUCCAGCCGACCCACCUAUCUGGCGAAGCCUAGCUUCCGUAGAACCCCUUCAAGGAAUUUCUCGUCCACUCUAUCAUAUGCCUUUGCCAAAUAUAGUUUGUAGGCACAAUGAUUAUUGUUUUCAUUCUUGGUAUGUUGUAUCUUGUGGAAGCACUCGAAGGCUAUGAUGGCAUUAUCCGUAAUCAUCCUUUCAUGAAUGAACGCACUUUGUGUCUUCGAUAUGAUAUCCUCAAGGAAAGGGCGUAAGCGGUUGACCAAACAUUUUGAUACCACUUUGUAAACUACAAUGCAGAGGCUAAUGGUUGAUAACCCACAAGUAUAGGGGAUCAUUUGUAGCCUUUUUUGAUAAAUAAGAGUUUCGAACCCAACAAGUUCUAUCGACCACCGAUGCAAGUGUACGCACACUUCACGUUUGCUUUACCUAAAACAAGUAUGAAACUAUUCUGUAGGUGUGAUGCUGGAACUACUUUGCAAGAAUAAAACUAGGAGUACUUUGCGAGAUAAUAAAACUAGUUGUUUAGUAGAGAGAUUUUUGUCACACAAGAAAGUUAUUUGUCCCUGGGUGAUCGAUAACUAAAUCGGUAAUCAUUAUUGCAAUUUUAUAUGAGGGAGAGGCAUGAGCUAAUAUACUUUCCGUACUUGGGUCAUAUGCAUUUAUGAUUAGAAAUCUAGCAACCAUCCGCAAGUACCAAGGAUCAUUAAAGUAAAACUCAACCAUAGCAUCAAGUAUCAAGUCCUUUUUAUCCCACACGCAACAACCCCCUUACUCGGGUGUAAGCUUCUGUCACUUUAGCCACCCACCAUAAGCGAAUCAUGAAUCUAUUGCAACACCCUAAAACGGGGAUCCCUCACGUUUGCACGACAUGAAGGGUACCAUAGGACAACACCAAAAUAAAAUAUACAACUCAAACCAAUCAUGACAUCAACCAACCAACAGGACAAAACAUGUCUACUCAAACAUCAUAGGAUAACCACAUAUCAUUGGCUAAUAAUAUAUAGUGUUGAGCAUCAUGUUUAAGUAGAGAAUUGCAGCGGGAAUAGAGAGGUUACACAGCUGCAUAGAGGGGGAGAAAGUUGGUGUUGACGGUAGCAAUAUUGUUAGUGUAGAUUGUCGUCACGAUCCUUGCCCCGGCGGUGUUCUGGGGCCACCGGGAAACAGGGGGAGAGAGUCCCCCUCCUUCUUCCUUGGCCUCCCUCAUAGAUGGGAGGAGAGUUUCCCCUCUAGUCCAUGGCCUCCAUGGCGGCGGAGGAACGAGAGCCCCUCCGAGAUUGGAUCUAUAUCUUUGUUCUAUUUUGUUUCGCGUUUUUUGUUUUAUGGCCUUUCACCGUUUCUUAAAUUACCGGAGAUCUGUAACCGAUUACGCUGAAAUUUUAACACGAUUGUUUUUUCGUAAAUUAUAUUUCUUGCAGCGAAAGAAGGGCCCCAACCGUAUUACCGGGUGCCCACUAGGCACCACCACGCGCCAGGGGUGUGGGCCGCGCCCUGGUGGGUAGUGGAGUCUUUGGACCUCCGUUUGCGUUUAUUCCACCUUUCAAAAAUUAUAUAUAUUCCAAAAUAAUUCUCUAUAAAUUUUUAUCGCGUUUGGACUUUAUUUAAUAUGAAUAUUCUGCAAAACAAAAAACAUGCAACAAACAGGAACUAGCACUGGGCACUUGAUCAAUAUUUUAGUAAAAAAUAAAAUAUAUAUAUUGCUAGAAGUAUAUAAAAAUUAUAUAAUAUUGGCACGAAGCAAUCAAAAAUUAGAAAUACGACGUAUCAAUAAUAGUUGAGCAAGUCGCAGGGUCGCUACUCGUCUCGGCGGGAUUGUGCUGCGACCAACCAUGCUUGUCAUGCUCGUGACCUCGUGACCCGUAUGCACUCCGGUGUCAGCGGCGGCUUGUACUGGUGACCUGACCUGCCCUGCCCGUGACCAUGAGCACUGGGUGAGCUUGAUUGGUACUUGGUCGAGAGACUCCUGCUCGGCGCCUUUAGCGCCGGCCAGGAGAACCAGCGCACAUGUGUCCCCAUUUGGGCGGCCCAAAAUCAUGGCAACCUGCUCACUCGCCCACGGCGCCUUGGUUCGCUCGGUCAAGGUUGACCAGUUGACUAAUCGACCGUUGACUAUUCAAAAAAAAAGAAAAAUUAGCUCAAAAUCAAAAAACUUUGCAAAUUAAAAAAAUCAUGAAUUUGAAAAAAAUUACAAACCUAAAAAAAGUUGACAUUUUUGGGGGAGAAAAAUCACAAAUUCAACAAAAGUUCGUAGUGAUUUUGAAAAAAAAGUUCGUAGAUUUGCAGUAAGUUCGCACAUUUUUAUAAAAAAAUUCAGGAUUUUUUUGCAGCUUUAGAAAACAUCAUCUAUUUCAAAAAAAAUCAUGGAUUUAUUUUAAAUAAUUUGAUUUUCAAAAAGUUCAUGGGUUUGAAGAGAUGUCAUUAGUUGCGAUUUUGAUAAGAAAUAAUUUGAUUUGACUGAGCUGAUGUAGGUGUUGGUUUUGGGAAAUUACCGAUUUGAUUUGGAUUAUUCUAAUUUACUGUAUUUAGAUUGGUUUUUAUUUUCUAUGGCAUCUGUUGGGAUUAAAAAAAUAACAGGAAACAAAAGGGCAGGGAGCCUGGGAAGGAAAAAACACAGGAGGAGGUGAGGGGAAUCUUCAAACUCUCCUUUAAUAGUUGAGAUUUGGUUGGUAGGGGAAUGUGAUGGCCUGGCUUAUUAAGGAUGAUAGACUACUCAUAUCAAUAAGAAUUCCUUCUUUUCCGGGAGCCCAUUCUGACAGAACUCCAAAGUUAAGCGUGCUCAGCUUGCAGUGGUUUCAGGAUGGGUGACCGACUGGGAAGUUGCUCCCGGGUGCGCAUGAGUGAGGAUAAAGUGCGCGGAAAAGACUAGUAUUGAUCUGUGGGGCCAGUCUAGAUCCUGCCAGGAGUAACGACCACCGGUGGGUGUGUCCGGGGCGUUACAGGGAAGUGACAGAAAGAUUUCUUUUAGUUAAGAUUUUGAUAGGACUUUCUUUGAAUUGAUUGCGGAAAUGCAUGACAUGGUUUUGGAAAAGUAAUGAUUUGCUUUAAAUUAUUUCAAUUUACUCAAUUUACAUUGAUUUGCAUUAUAUACGCCAUGGAUCGCAAUUAAAAAAUAAAUGGAAAAAAAGGUAGCGAACGUGGGGAUGAAAAUAUUGGGGAUGAGGUGAGGCAAAUCUACCAACCCUCCUUUAAUAGUAGGGAUUACGUUGGUAGGGGAAGUGACAUCAAGUUUUGAUUUAGUUGAGAUUUCGAUAAGAUUUUGAUUUGAUUUGAUUGAGUUAUUGCAGGAGGUCGUUUUGGGAUAGUACUGAUUUGGUUUAGAUUAUUUAAAUUUACUCUAAAUCUUUUGGAUUUAUUUUGUGCGGCAUCUGUUGGGAUUAAAAACAAGUCAACAGAAAGAAGGGAAUGCGGGGAGGAAAAAACCAGGGAGGUGGUGAGGUGAAUCUACCAACUCCUAUUUAAUACUCCCUCCAUCCCAAAAUUAUUGUUUUAGAUUUGUCUAGGUACGGAUGUAUCUAAUACUAAUUAUUGUCUUAGAUUUGUCUAGAUACGGAUGUAUCUAAUAAUCCGUAUCUAAUAGUAUUAGAUACGGAUUAUUAGAUACAUCCGUAUCUAAACAAAUCUAAGACAAGAAUUUUGGCACGGAGGGAGUAUUAAAGAUAUGGUUAUAGGGUAAGUAGGGAAGAUAUUGAUUCAGUUAAGAUUUUGAUAAGAUUUAAUUUAAUUUCGCUGAAUUAAUGAAGGAUCUGGUUUUGGAGAAGUAGUGAUUUGGUCACCUUCCUAUAUAAGAGCACCACAUCAGAGAGAGGGGAAGUGGGCACCUUCCUAGCAAGAUUUUCUUUGCAGAGAGAGAAAUCUGUAGAGCUUAAAGCCACUCUGUAGUUCAGCCCCUGUUUUAUUUUCUCACUCUCUCUCUCUCUCUCUGAAAACAAUCAUCUAUCUCAGUCUCACACACACGCCAACACAAUCGAGAAGGAAAUCAAAUUCCAAGAGACCGCGGCCUCUCAAUCGAUAGCUCAUGGCGGCCAUGAUGGCCUCGAUAACCAGCGAGCUCCUUUUCUUCCUGCCCUUCAUCCUCCUGGCCGUGCUCAGCUUCUACACCAUUACGGUUGCUAAAUGUAAUGCCGGCCGGACGAAGAAGAAGCGACCGAAUCUGCCGCCCGGCGCCGUCGGUUGGCCCUUCAUCGGCGAGACCUUCGGGUACCUCCGCGCGCACCCGGCCACCUCCAUCGGCCAGUUCAUGAACCAGCACAUCGCACGGUCCGUACACACACAUACAUUCAUACAAAUACUAGAAAGCAUGCCAACACGCGUGAACGAACAUUCGGGCUGAGGUCGCAUGAUAUUGAUGGUAUAUGUAUAUGGAUGCAGGUACGGGAAGAUAUACCGGUCGAGCCUGUUCGGGCACCCGACGGUGGUGUCGGCGGACGCAGGGCUGAACCGGUACAUCCUGCAGAACGAGGGGCGGCUGUUCGAGGUCAGCUACCCGCCAAGCAUCGGCGGCAUCCUGGGCAAAUGGUCGAUGUUGGUGCUUGUCGGGCACCACCACCGCGAGAUGCGCUCCAUCGCCCUCGACUUCCUCAGCUCCGCCCACCUCCGCGCCGUGCUCCUCCCGGAGGUUGAGCGCCACACCCUCCUCAUACUCCGCGACUGGCUGCUUUCCUCCUCCUCCGCCGUCUUCUCCGCCCAGCACGAAGCCAAGAAGGUAACUAGUAACUGACGACCUCCUUGACCACGCGCCAUGCACAGCACAGCACCUGGUUUGGUGUUGCGAUGUGGUCCAUCCGUCCAUGCAAGGUCGAUGAAUGGAACUGACAACAUCGUACGCCCACAGUGGAGUUGUAGCAAAUUAACAAUGGAUGGAUCCGUUCGUGCAGUUCACAUAUAACCUGAUGGCGAAGAAUCUCAUGAGCAUGGAGCCUGGGGAGGAGGAGACGGAGCGGCUGAGGCUGGAGUACGUCACGUUCAUGAAGGGGGUGGUGUCUGCGCCCCUAAAGUUCCCCGGGACGGCCUACUCGAAGGCCCUCAAGGUACAACGACAACAACACUCAACAGUCAACACACUACUAGUACUAUAUAGUAUAGUCCCUGUCUCUCUGGCUCAUAUACACGUGCAUACACGCAUACCUAUGAACGUACACACGCAUAUCCUAUUGCUAUGAGUAGCUCCAAAAGACUGAGCCGACAUAUCAUCUUGAAAUUUAUGAAGUCACCGUAGGCACCUCAUCAUCGAGGGGAACGUCUCCUCCCACUGAAUGCACAUCGUCGGAAAUCCUGAAAUAAAUUCAGUAAUAAAUGCGAGCACCAGAAUUUGAACCCUGAUGGGCUGGAGAUACCACAGUCCCUCUAACCAUCCAACCAUAGGUUGGUUGGCGUCUCUGUGUGCACGCUUGGGUGUCAUGUCUAGUAUCGAAAAAUAAGUUGGAGAAAUCACUUGUUUUCUUUUUCCCAGCAUCCUAUUUUGCCCUUAGAGGUACUGAUCAUCACUUAUGAACGCAUAAAACGUUGCCUGCCUUUUACUGCUUGUGCGGUUACACUCAGAUGAUCUUUAUUGAUUGCUCCCAGGUGCAGCGUGCUGCAUGCAUGCUCUCACACUCUUUCUCUUCCCUACACACGGCCCGUGCUGAACAGCAUACAAUUGCAACUUGAUGUUUUUACCUCUUAGAAAAAGUUGAAUGACCAACCUUCCUAAUUUGGCAUGAUUAUAUCAUUUAUCUUGAUUUAACCACGUUUAUGUCACCAGGCACGCUAUUUGCAACCCUCUUAAUUUUGUUUUCAUUAAUGACAUUUUGCACCCUUUAUUAGCUGAUAUCGAUAUCCUACGUAUACCUAGAUUUUGUCUUAAUUAAUGAUGUUAGCACCCCAUGUUAGAAGGAAAUUUUGUCGAGAAAAUAGUCAUUGUCAUCAAUGUUGGCAUAUAUAUGCUUGAUUCAUGAAAUGUUUAAAGUAAUUUUGCAUUGUAUACUCGAGCUUAGGAAGUACUUCUUGUUGCCUAUUCACCAACCUACAAACGUUUCGCAACAUGAAGUGAAAAAAUAUGGAUUGAACAGAAAAGAAGAAACCAAAACCAAAGAGCAAUACAUUUUUUGUUUAAUUAAUCACUUCUUAGUGUCAGAGCACGAAAAAUGGAGAAGGGGAAUAAUUUGUAUGCUGGGGAAUUAUCCUACUUUAUUUGAUGGCACCUAUGUUGCAAAGAUAUGCAUUCUCCAAAAUAGAAACGUAUGACAAGGCACGAUCUUCAACCAGUAGGCAGUUAGGCAACAUCUUAAUGAUUGUGACAUGUCAAAUGUUCUCCCAAGAAGCCCAAACAAAAUUACCACAUAUGACUUUGCUGUAAUUUUAAUUUUUCUAUCAUAGAAUAACACCAGUAAUUAUUUACUAUAUUUUGCGUGCAGUCGCGAGCCACCAUACUUGGAGUAAUCGAGUGGAAAAUGGAGGAGAGGCUUGAGCAAAUGAACAAGGAGGACUCGAGCACAGAAGCAGAUGAUCUUCUCGGGUGGGCAUUGAAGCACUCUAAUCUAUCAAAAGAGCAAAUAUUGGACCUCUUGUUGAGCAUGCUCUUUGCUGGGCAUGAGACAUCGUCAGUGGCACUUGCCCUCGCCAUCUUCUUCCUCGAAGGUUGCCCUAAAGCUGUCAAAGAACUGCGGGUAUAAAUUCAGUUUGCUAUACCAAUUCAAAUUCAUUUGUGCUAAAUUGGACGUAGCAAUCUUUCAGAAGAAAAAGAAACCACAUUCAGUAUAUACAUGGAUGGUGAAAUGAACCAGAAAUAUCAUGCAAAUAUUCACAGUGAUCCAUGGCCGUGCAGGAGGAGCAUCUUGAGAUUGCUAGGAGACAAAAGCUGAGAGGGGACUGCAAAUUGAGCUGGGAAGACUACAAAGAGAUGGUUUUCACACAAUGCGUAAGGCCCUUUUGAUUUGUCUGUUUUCUCCCUCAUAAUAUCAGUGCAAGAUAUAUGUGUGUGUCUGCUUACUUCCCAUGGUGAAAUCACUGUCCAUGUACAGUUUGAUGCCAAGGCAAAUUAUCUGAUCCCCGGAAAAGUUGGGGAGCACCUUUCCUUGGUAGAGUCGUACUAUUAUAAUAGCAUCGUAGGUGUUGAGUGCCUUCUUUUGAUGCUCGAGCACCAGGGAGGCCACUAUUUUCAAUAUGUCAAAACGCCCAUUUCAAAGUUUCAAAGCAAUUAAAAAAAUCCCAAUGAAAUUUAUAUGUGUUCCGCAGGAACGUGUGAAAAGUCAGUAGAAAACAUUACGAUUUCUAGGCUGAACAAAAACAACAAAAUUCUGGACCAACAACCGAAAAUGUUAGCCCAUUUUGGAACUACAUACUUUUUUUGUAUGCCACAUGCGGAAGUAUAAUGUUAUGAAAUUUUGCACAUACGUGUAUAUGUGUCUGUGUGUUCACAAAAAAAAUAUUAUUUUGAUUCUGUUUAAAUUUGUAUUUUGAAAAUGAGCUCCCUGUAGCUCGGUCACUGUUAGCAUUUUCCACGGUGUUGUGCUACUGAAUGGAACUAUACAAUGUGUCAUUGUAGACCAGAAUAGCAUCUUCCGGUCCUACACAUUCCAACUGCCGAACUCUCUUGUUUGCGAGUUAGUUCAAAUGCGGUAGAGGAAAGGUGACAAAUGUUUGAGUCCUUAAUUGCUUCUUUUCUUGCAGGUUAUAAACGAGACCUUGCGGCUAGGCAACGUGGUUAGGUUCCUGCACCGGAAGGUCAUUCGAGAUGUGCACUACAAUGGUUGGUGCCUUAAUUCUUACCGUACAUAUAUUCUUCUGACAGUACCAGUGAACUCUUCUUCGUACAGAUGGAGUUGUUGAAUAUUUGACGUGGACUGACAGGGUACGACAUUCCGAGCGGAUGGAAAAUUCUGCCGGUGUUAGCGGCAGUGCAUCUCGACUCAUCACUGUACAAAGAUCCCAACAGCUUCAACCCUUGGAGGUGGAAGGUCAGUGCCUAAACGAUGCCUACAAUUUUAUCAGCACAAAAUCAACUGGAACUAGGAGUGAUAUUGCUAUCAGCUUAAGGAUCUCGUGAAAAUCAAUCCAAGAAAGAAAAGGAAAAUAUAUGUCUGGCAGUCGUUGUCCAGUCAAUCACAGGCCUUCAUGCCGUUUGCACAGUGAAACUUCGGCGGGAAAAACAAAACGACGCCAUGUGGUCGUGGCAAUAGCACCGCCUCCACCACUUCAACAGGACAAAGACAAACUUGAUAUAUGCACUCAGCUUCAGAGAAGUUAACAUUGUGUUUGCUGUUGUAGCAGGGCAACACAUCCGCCGUGGCGCACAACGGCAACUUCAUGCCCUACGGCGGCGGCACGAGGCUCUGCGCCGGGUCCGAUCUCGCCAAGCUCGAGGUGGCCAUCUUCUUGCACCACCUGGUGCUCAACUUCCGUUGGGAGCUCGCCGAGCCAGACCAGGCGUUCGUGUACCCGUUCGUGGACUUCCCCAAGGGCCUGCCCAUUAGGGUCCAUAGGAUUGCAAAGGAAGAAGGGGAAGACUAAAGCGUUUUGGCCGAGGACAUAUACGAUAGGUGAUUCAGUCUCGCGUCAAAGAGAAAUGUGCACAUGUUCGUCGUCGUUUUCUUUCCCUUUGGGCUUUGUGUUAUUUUUUCUUAGAACAGCGCUGCUUUAUUUAAAUAACUAGCAAGGCGGCCCUCGCAAAUGCGAGGGAAUGAUCUUGAAGUCGGUCAAAAAUAUUCUGUAUUUAUUUUUAUCUUAUUGUUAAAAAGAUAUUUUGAAUCAUUUUAAAUCUUGAAUGAAUAAUUAUUUUGACAUUUAUAAAACACCAUAUUCUAGAAUGUUCUCUAUGUUGUUACAUAGGUAGUCCUAUCUUGAUCUAAUUUUACUCUUCAAACCCACAUUCCCACUCAAAUUUUGUUCUUGUGUCAUAGAAGAUGAUAACACCAACUUUGAUCUAUCAUAGUCUCAACAUAUUUAUUACUCACGGAAGACAAGGGUGGCAUCAGAAGGGAUGCAGUCACCGUCCUAGGUGCCGUACCAUCUGGCAAUCAAUGGUCCUUUGUAGAGCUGUCUUAGUACGUCAAUAGUUGAGGUCAAUUAUUUGAUUCACAUGAAUAAAAAAAGUAAGAAAAAUAUGCUUGCAAUGACACCUUCAAUUAAAUCUUAAGAACUGCAAAACCAUAUCACACAAAAGUGUAUUUUGACAACACAGUAAAUACAUAAGUACUAAUGACAAUCCAACAUAUUUCAGUUGAUACAUGAAGAGUAAGAUCAUGGCUCUCUCUCUCUCUCUCUCUCUCUCUCUCUCUCUCUCUCUCAUGUUGGAAAUGCAUAAGUAUUUCUAGGAGUUGGUUCAAGAUCUUUAGGUGUCUGAUAAAGGCAAACAUUAAACAUUGUUGGCUUGUUAUGUACCUUAAUCCUUAGAUUGUGUCAAGUGGCCUUGUCAACCGUACUGUUUUCUUUGGAAGGUUAUGGGCACUACCAUCACAGUAAUAUAUGGGCACUACCAUCACAGUAAUAUAUGAUCACCUAGUACUCGAUCCGUAUUGUUUUCUUUGGAAGGUACUAUUGGUACUUGCUUCUUUUGUCGGCAUAUAUGCUAGUUAAUAUCUGACAUACAAUUGGAGAACUUUAUAAGUGAUUGCACCAUUCACACAAUUGAGGAGAAUAUAUUUUCAUCUAAUUAAAAAUGGGUAUAACUAUUAAUAUUUCAUGUUCUCUAAUAAGUAAUAUGUUUGUCUUUUUGUUAUUUAUGGGUACUUAUACAUGUAUAAAAAUAAGCCACCUGACACUUUUUAAUGCAUACCACAUAUAUUUUUGUGCCCAUAUAGUAAUGUAGUUACCUUAGCAGACACAUCUAAACAUGCACAUUUCAAAUGAACAGGAAAGCCUACCGAUUAACUAUUGGUUCUGUUUUUGCCAUCCGUAUUGGACACUCCAUCAGUAUGGUCUAUGACAAACUGGAUCACAUGCUUCUCAAACUGUCUUGAAAUCUAGCAAUUAAUUUCAGAUAAAAAUAGCUAAAUAAUUGGGGUAGUUUAAAAUUAUCAUAUAUUGUGCUUUUAGAACAUGACUAAUAUAUUUAGUGUUAUCCACUCGACACUCUUUUGAACCAAUAAACAAAUAAGUCGUUCACCCAAACUCGCAAUGCAACAAUCCUAGCUAUUAACUAUGAAAAUGAUACUGCAAAACGGUUAGCAGUGAAUGGUGCUAUAUAUACAUUGAGCACAACGGACAAUAGAAGAUAUCAAUACUACAGAUAAUGUAGCUACCGUCAAGCCAUGACAACCAAAGUUGCCUGAUCAACACUACAUGUAAGGUUUUCGCAAGAAAGAACAAUACAUAUAAGGUGGCUGCCAUCAAUGUUACUCUGCCCGUCCACCUGAUGGCAACGUCUUGAUGUGUACUUGUACUGGCAGCGAGUACAGCCAGAAGCCCCUUGCAGAGCAACGACAACCACAUAUCUGAACUUGCCUUGUCCUUGUGUGAUAUAUGCCUGUAGUACUUGCACACACUGUGCUCUCGAAUGUGUUCUAUGAGCUUGUACAUUGCAAGCAUGAGUUGUUACUUGCAUGUGUAGCUUCAGAGUUGUGAAUGGAAAUUUCAGAAAUAAACAUCUAAUUGCUAUUACUUGUUCGUAUUGGCAAUUGAGGUGUUCCUUACAUACUACAUGAUGUAAUAUAACUCAAAUGCUGCAAGUCUGAUUCAUCUUCAAGGUUUCUACAUCUGACACAAGUUAACAUGUUAGCAGCCAAAAAGAAUCAUGGAUAAAAUAGCUUGCUGCUACUCCAUGGAAACCCGGUGCCUCUGUUUGCAUUCAAUUUUUUUUGAACACAUACAUAAACAAGAACAAGAUUUCAAACCAUCAAACACAACUGGAACUCGGUAGCAUCUUGUAACCAUUAAUAAAGCAUGUUGCAUGCAUCCAAUGUGAUAAUAAGUGAAAAGUUGGAAAAUAAACACAACUUAUCAGGUAGAAUGGAAAAUUCAGUAAAACUAAUUAAAUGGUAUUAAUAAGCCUUGUGUCUUUUACCAAGUUGCACCUAUCAUGAUUGACAGUUUGGAAGCAUGUGCUGCACAUUCAUGGUUUCUUUGCCAGGACAAUUACGACUGUCAUGAAACCCUAUUUGGUUGCAUGUCUUGCACAAGCAUGUGACCUUGACCUUGGCUUCUUUGUUCAUCUCCAUUUGCUUUUCCCCAUUGAUUUCCUUUCCUCUCUUUGUACUUUUACAUCUCCCUACCGAAUGAACAUCAUUUGGCAGGUGUAGGUCAAUUUGAGCAAGAAUGUUGCAACCAAUAAACACCUCAUGUUCCUCUUCCCUAGUGUGCUUGACUGCAUUAGGAACCAUUUGGUUUAGAGGAUCCUCAAUGCUCACCACACUUGCCUUCGUCUGAUUGCUUGGCUUUUCGAAUUAGAUCUUCCAACAUCUUUUGAACUGUUGAUAUCUUUUUCCUUGCAGCUGCAUCCAAGGAGUCGAUCGACUUUUGUUCCAGAAUGUUUCCUUGUUCAUCAUAAACACUCUCACUCGAAAAAAAAUUGAUGUCAACCAUAUGAUUCCAAAAAAAACUAACAUUAAUGGUUGAUAAAAUUUGUGUACCUUUUACACCUUUUUUGCCAUCUUUCCAUAAUAUAGAAGGUGGGAAGCUCCUUUUGGUUUCAAACACUGGGCAUCUGCAUGCUUGAUUUUUAAUCUGAGUCCACGGUAGUAGUUUUGCAAGUCCCUCAUCGUGCAUCCAGCAUUCGCAAACCCACCCUUGCUAACCUGGAGGAGCAUUUAUGCUUGGCAAGUACCUAUGCUUUGCUUUGCACAUGUGUACAAUGUGUUCUUUUCCCUCUCACUCAAAUGAUGAUUUGAUCUGAUAAAGUGACGCUUAUCAGGUGACACAAGACCAUGAUUGUGGUGCUUAACCCUUGAUUCUAUCUUAUAGGCAUCAUUGCCGCACAACUUCACAAAGAUAUGUGCAUCACAGCCACACCCUGUGUCUAUGUUCUUAUGCCUUUUCUUGGAUGGAUUAUCAAUCUUUUUACCCUUUUCAACUUGAAUCCUUCUCUUUUACACAUGUAUCGCUUAGUGCAAAUUACCUCAUUUUCAAACUUCUUCUGCUAUCCAAUACGAGCCCCAAAACCUGAGUGAUGUGCAUAAGACUUGUAGAACUCCUCCACAUCCUUCAUUCCCUGAAAUGUCAUCCCCAUAGCUGGCUUCAAAUUAUCUUCACAUUCAGGUAUAAAAGAUGAGCACUGCAACAUAAAUAAUUAAUCAGUAAGAACCAUCAUGUACAAAUAACUGAACAGAAUACGACAAUGGUCGGUUAAAGCAAUUGACUUACAAUGACAGGAACACUUGCUUUCUUUAUGGGUGUACUAAAUCCUUCCGUGUUCAUAUGCAUUUGGCAACUAUUUGCAGAUCUCAUUGUUGCAGAAAUAAGUACAUGAUAAGCCUAUGAAAGUAACAAAAAGAGGACACACUAUUUGACAUGAGAAGUACAUCCCGAUUUUGAUUCAACGAACAAUGCCAAUGGAAAGAACGGGUGGCAUUUCAAAUGACACUUGGCAUACAAAAUUAUAGUCUACCAACAAUAUAUGUAUGUGCAUGUAAGAGCAGGAACAACAAUUCCUGACUUCACAACAAAAUGGUAGCACCGACAGAGAUGUUUGCAUGAAGAUAGGUGCAUUAAGAAUAAAUUUUUACAAACUAGCAAAACUUCGAACAAUGCAUAUGAGCCAGAUCGCAUCAUGUGUACACAUAACUCCCUAUUUACAUCAAGUUAAGAAGAAUCCCUGUCUAGAUACAAAUUGGAUCAUUAUUUUACUCAUUAACUCCUGGGCUGAAGAACAUCUAUCUGCUUUGAAACACUAUGCACGAUAAGGUAAGGAUUGAGGCAUGCAUUUGGGACACUAUAUUAACCUUAGAGUAUACACGUAUGGCCACCAAGAUCUCUUCUUUGUGGAUGGUUAGGGCGUAUGUUGAGUACUUCUAUAUCUAGCUUCAAGUCGCCAAAAAUUUGUUUCAAUAUAUCUCCAUUACAACACAAGUGAUGUUGCAGAAAAUUCCUGCAACAUGGGUCAUGUUGCAGAAUUUUUUGCAACAUAGGUGAAAUUGCAGAUUUGUUUUGCAAUGGAAGUCUUGAUAUAGUUUUUUUUGUAACAAAGGUCCUGUUGCAAUGUUUUUACUAGAGAUCUCAUUACAUUUUUUUGUAACAGAGGUCUUGUUGCGGCACUUUUUGCAACAAAGACAUUGCUACAGAAACACACUAUACCGGACAGCGAGAAGCAAGUAGUGCUACCUCUUGAGCACUUCGUUGGUUUUCCCUUGAAGAGGAAAGGGUGAUGCACAAAGUAGCAUAAGUAUUUUCCCUCAGUUUUUGAGAACCAAUGUAUCAAUCCAGUAGGAGGCAACACGCAAGUCCCUCGUACCUACACAAACAAAUAAGAAUCUCGCAACCAACGCGAUAAAGCGGUUGUCAACCCCAUCACGGUCACUUACGCGAGUGAGAUCUAAUAGAGAUAAUAAUGAUAAGAUAAAUAUUUUUGGUAUUUUUAUGAUAUAGAUUGAAAGUAAGAUUGCAAAGUAAAAUAGAUUGGAAACUUAUAUGAUGGAAAAUAGACCCGGGGGCCAUAUGUUUCACUAGUGGCUUCUCUCAAGAUAGUAUAAGUAUUACGAUGGGUGAACGAAUUACAGUCGAGCAAUUGAUAGAAAACCGAAUAAUUAUGAGAAUAUCUAGGCAUGAUCAUGCAUAUAGGCAUCACGUCCGUGACAAGUAGACCGACUUCUGCCUGCAUCUACUACUAUUACUCCAAACAUCGACCGCUAUCCAGUAUGCAUCUAGAGUAUUAAGUUCAUAAAAACAGAGUAAUGCCUUAGGUAAGAUGACAUGAUGUAGAGGGAUAAACUCAAGAAAUAUGAUAUAAACCCCAUCUUUUUAUCCUCGAUGGCAACAAUACAAUACGUGUCGUUUCCCUUUCUGUCAUUGGGAUCGAGCACCACAGGAUCGAACCCAAAGCUAAGCACUUCUCACAUUGCAAGGAAGAUCAAUCUAGUAGGCCAAACCAAACUGAUAAUUCAUAGAGACUUGCAAAGAUAACCAAUCAUGCAUAAAAUAUUUCAGAGAAGAAUCAAAUAUUGUUCAUAGAUAGACUUGAUCAUAAACCCACAAUUCAUCGGAUCUCGACAGACACACCGCAAAAAGAGUUACAUCGAAUAGAUCUCCAAGAAGAUCAAGGAGAACUUUGUAUUGAGAUCCAAAGAGAGAGAAGAAGCCAUCUAGCUAAUAACUAUGGACCCGAAGGUCUGAAGUAAACUACUCACACAUCAUCAGCAGGGCCAUGGAGUUGAUGUAGAGGCCCUUCGUGAUCAAUGCUCCCUCCGGCGGAGCUCCGGAAAAGGCCCCAAGAUGGGAUCACUUGGGUACAGAAGGCUGCGGCGGUGGAAAUAGGUUUUCGUGGUGCUCCUGGAUGUUUUCGGGGUAUGUGAACAUAUAUAGGAGGAAAAAGUAGGUCGGUUAAGCCACGAGGGGAAGGGCGCGCCCAGGGGGUAGGCACGCCCCCUGCCUCGUGGACUCCUCGUCCGUUUCUUGACGUCCACUCCAAGUCCUCUGGAUCACGUUUGUUCCAAAAAUCACACUCCCGAAGGUUUCAUUCCAUUUGGACUCCGUUUGAUAUUCCUUUCCUGCGAAACACUGAAAUAGGCAAAAAAUAGCAAUUUGCACUGGACCUUGGGUAGUUGGGUUAAUAGGUUAGUCCCAAAAAUAAUAUAAAAGUGUAAAAUAAAGCACAUUAACAUCUAAAACAGAUAAUAUAAUAGUAUGGAACAAUCAAAAAUUAUAAAUACGUUGGAGACGUAUCAAACAGCGACACGCGUCUCACAGACGAGACGAGGGAUGCUCGAGUUCAAUUUGCUAGUUGAAGCCAAGUGUUUUUUUCUUUUAAAGAAGUUAUGCAUACUUCAAAAUGGAAUGGAGGGAGUAUGUAUUUGUAUUUUUAGUUUUUUAUUUGAGGCAAUUUGAAUUUUUUGUGGUGAGGGCUAUCGACCGCACCACAAAAAACAAAAAGGCCCGGCCCAUCCAUCCUAAGAUAGCCGGACCUCUCGCCUCAGGGUGGACACGGUCCGGGCCGGUCCGGUCCCGGUCCCAGCCGUCGUUUGGACCGGCCGCCGGCGGUCCGGUCCGGACCGGACCGAGCAGUGCACCGGUCCUGAUUCGAGGGACCGGACCGGCAGAUGAGAAGCUCGGUGCGGACCGGCGGUCUUCACGGUCCCGGCGACGUCUAGUCACUGGCAUGUAGGCCCAGGAUGUCGGAGAGGUCGUCGGAGCAGCAGCGCAGUGGCCGGAGCCGGAGAAGACACAGAUGAGGCGCGGUGGCGCAAGGGAGAGGCACGGGGGAGAGAGGAAGUGGAACGGCCGCACGGUGGAGAGGGCGAGCAACAGCGUCGGGAAGCGGGGGAGAGGGCAAGCAGCCGCGCGAGGGUGCGGCGGCGUGGCGGCGGGGAGAGUGAGGCAGCGCAGGGGGGAGAGGAACCAGCCCCUGCGGCGCCAUGGGGGUGGACUGGGAUGGACGAGGAUGGCGGCUAGGUCACGCACGCACGGUGUAUACAUAUUGGACUCUUCCUGAUUAGAUCUAAUUGGGCUGGGCCUUCGGUCCUCCGAGCCGGACCGAGCUUUUGUCGGACCGGACCGACCGAGUUUCGGUCUCUUUUUCACGGACUGGACCGGCCAUGUUAUUUAGCGAGCCAGGACCGUACGGUCCGGUUCAUAACGGGCCGCGAGCCAGGCCGAAAGCCCGCUCGUCACGUCCAUGCUGACUCUCGCCCCCUACCUCUUCCUCCGUACGGAUGCAGCGACGGCGGCGAAGCGGUGGGCGAAUCGGCCGAGGACCCCCACCCCUCGCUGACCAGCGAAGCAAAGGACACAUGGACCUCACCGUGUCCUCGAGGUCUGCUGCCCACUCAAAUUCAUUUCAUUUCACUUAUGGUAAGACGAUUCCGAUCUGAUCCACUUUGCCCAGAUGCUGGUGGGAGAGGGACUGGGCGGCUCUUGGCGAUGGGCCAGCGGGGCUGAUCGCGGAGCGCGUCCUCGCCUACGAUGUCGCCGACUUCCUCCGCUUCCGCGCCGUGUGCAGCCUGUGACGGCGGUGCUCCGUGAACCCGAGCGCACACGAUGGCCUAGACCGCUGCUUCCAUCCACGGCGGUGGACCAUGCUCCGGGAGGAACUCGCCUCACCAGAUCGCCGUUGCUUCCUCAACACACCCACCGGCGAGUCACCCGACAACUGACAGAGCUGCCGCCGCUCACCACAGUGCUUCCCUCCAAGUUCAAGGACCAUGACAUACUUGAGGAGAGUGAUGGACUUUUCGACACCGAAUUCAUUGUGUGGGGCUCUGGUGUUGCCGGCGAUGGUUCCACAUUUGUUCUCUGCUUCAACAUGCUCGACCUGCUUGCCAUGGCCAAGCCCGACGACGACCAGUGGACACCGGUAAAGGACAAUGGUGCUGGCAUAACAGUGGCACUGGCAACCUUAAUGUUUGAGGGCCGCUUCUACUGCAUUGACAACAAUGGUGUGAUGGUACUGGAAAGUGGAAAUUGGAGCAUAUCACCCACCACGCCUGGAGGUGGCUGCCAAGAUGGAUAACAUUUAUGCCAAGAUGGAAAAUAUGGAUGACUCGCAAUUUGAGGAUAAUUUCCACCUCGUCAACAAUUGUGGGGAGAGCUGAUGCUGGCGCACCGUUGGGGUGGAGUGAUAGCCGAGAAUAAAUCGGGUUAUUUGUAUGACGCAUAUCGAGUGAAUUUGGACACCGGCACACUAUUUCCGGUCAAGAGCUUGGGUGGUAGUGCAGGGCGUGCGGUGUUCAUUGGUAUGCAUAGCUCUCUCUCGGUGUCUCUGGAUGUUUUCCCCUCUGGAUCCAUAAUCGCCGACACAAUCUACUUGAGCUUUGAUGAUGUUGGUGAGAGAGAAUGGUUAGACACUACAAGAAACUUGUUAAUACAUGACGGUCCUAGUCCGUCAUAGAUCAGGCAAAAACUGUCAUGUGUGCCCAUCCUUGACGGAUCUGAAAUCCGUCAUGUAUAUCGCGUCAUAAUUUGACAUCGUGCCUUCCAUGACGGUCCUUGGCCGUCAUGGAUCUGCCCCAGGCCCGCCAAGCCCAAACUAGGCUGUGACGGAACAGACUGUCACUGAUUUACAUGACGUGGCUGCAACAUGGACCUAACAAGGCGUCUACGUGGAUCUGACGUGGAGGAUAACAUGGCCCAUGUUGUAACCAGCCCAAUUGGCCCAAUAUUUUUGGUGGACAAUUUUAUCUCCAUCCUGCUAUUAGCACACCUGUUUUUUUAGUCCCAACCAAUUAGCCCCCUUUUUGUCCAGGUUGUUUUCUCAAUGCAACACAAUUUACAAUAGGAAACCCAAAUUAUAUUCAUUCAAAAAAUAGCAACUGUUUACAUGACAAUACAGUGUAACAACAAUCUAGCCUGAUUUGGAAAAAAUAACAAAGCUUAAUAUCAAAACAUAGCAUAUCUAGAAGGCGCUAUAAGCAUUUUUGGAAAUGCACUACUAGCAGAUUUCAAUGUCCAACACUACACCACCGCUUGAAGGCAGCUAUCCAGACCCAAUAAUUCCUGCUAACAAACUUCGAACUCCGGUAAGAUGGAUUACCCGCCAAACCUGCAUAGAAUCAAAACACAUACAAAAUAAUAAUUAUAAUAAGUUACAAAAUCCAGCUCCAAAAUGAAUCCAGAGUAAUAAUAUUAUUUGAUUUUCUGGACACACAACUACUAUAUUAAGGUACCACGUAAUUGUGGGCAACACACGUGAACAAAACCUGACUAGUUACAAGUUCAAUAAAUUGUUCCAUAAAUGUGACACUUUAUCAUCCAAACAUAAAAAGGUCAACAUCAUUUUAAAACAAAGGACAAACAGAUCAUUUCAUAUUCAUAAGUACAUCAACAAAAUCAAGUUUAUAUGCGCAUGACAGGACUUGUAUAUUAGAAUAGAUGAUCCCAUACAAUGCAAUGUAGUUCAUAGUCAAUAAAACAUGGAAAAUGUAAUACUAUACUUUUUUUUCAUCAAUUAAAGCUAGUUUCUGUCAAUAAACUUAUUUCUGCAUGUAAUGGAAAAUAAAAACACUCAAAGGAAAGACCAUUUUAGGUAAUUAAAUGAUCCAAAGUUCAAUAUGAGAAGUGAUGAAGAAUUGAGACAGUAGAUGUUGAGUAUGCAAGUAAUAACACUGAAAUUUUGACACUGAACAAUUGAACUAUGUAGCCGAUCAAACAGUCCUAAAUCGGAAGCAAAAAACAAUAUAACAUCUACUAUUAGUAAUCUUAAAUAAAAGCGCGCAAUUUUCACUUCCAUCGCUACUUCAGAUUGCAAUUCUGUGUACACGCAUUUCCAGAAGUACAGUAGUACGAAAUCCAUCACCUCUGCUGUAAUAAGCAAAAAAAACUGAACAUUAAUUAAACUGUUAGCUUGCAAACCCAAAGAAGAAUGGAAAACAGAAGGAUUAUUUAUAUGACUACAUGAAGAAGUCAGGUAGUCACUAAAUUAGACAUCAAGGCAGUAAUGAAGUUCAUUUCAAGGAAUCAUGGAAACAGAAGCAUUAUUUAUACAACUAUAUUCAGAAGUCACCUAUUUGAACAAAGCAGAAGUAAUCAUACAAAGAUUAGCAUGCUCGAGAAACAAUGAGUACAGCUGGAUGAUGAUGUACUUGCAUCAGCGUUGUUUGCAACCAUAUUAAUACAAAACUUAAAAUGUCAAUUAGAAACACAAAAGAAUAAGGGAGGAUAAUUUUGUGUACAAGCAAUCAGCUGAAAAUUAUGUAAAGAAAAUCCUGCCAGCAUAUACAUUGUACCACACAUUCCUUAACAAAUAAGAAUGACAUUAAACAAGUAACAGAGACUAACUUCAAGAUAAUUAAAACAAACUGGGCAUAAACAUAGGCUAAGUUCAAAUAAAAAUAUGUAAUGUUCUGGACAAUAUUAACUCAAUGUUUGAAUCAAAUUCGGCACCAAAGGAUUUUUCAUCUAACUCAAUGUCUAUGCUGCAAGUUCAUCUCAAAGCACCAACAAAUAUAGUACUAAGCAAUACUUACUUGCUAAGUGAACUUCAAAUGGCAUGCAAGAUAUCAACAAAGAAUAUGAUACAGUUUCACUGAAAGUUCUCCCACACUAAUAGUUAAUUUUUGUCGAGUACUAAGCUGUUUACUUUUUAUUAAAUGCAAAAAUAAAAAUCUGUACUAUAGUGAACUAUGAAACAAGAAAAUAAUUGAUAAAUAGUGAACUAAUAGUUAGGAAAGCGCAGCUUGAAUUGAUCAUGCUUCGCUUAUAUUCAAGGACAGGUAGAAAAGCUAGUCUAUCAUCCAUGUUACUUCUAUUCAUGAACCUUCAUCAGCUUGCACGAGAACUACACAUUAUUUUAUUACAUGGGAAAAGCAAUUAAUUAAUUGUUAUUCAGAUACAAGCAGAAUCAGAACCCAUGAACACCAAGAGAUGGCAACUCUAGUAGAGUAUGGAUGCAAUGCAUGAUAUCAGGGACAUGGUCCAAUGCAAAUUUUAUGCACACAGAAAUAUAUGUACAGUUAGAAUUUUACAGAUACCACACAACAAUCCACACCUUAAACAACUCACAACAAUACACAACUUGAACAGCUCAAAAUGUACAACCAGAAUAAUUCACAUCAAGAAUACGACUAGCGAAAGAAUGGGAGGGUAUCAAGCUCACCAUGUUCUGCUCGAGGACUAUGGCAUCAACUUCGAUCAGGUGGGAGAUGUACAGAAUAUAAUGUGCAAAGCAAAGAUAUUAGUGUGACAACUGGAUGUGCAAUUUCAUUUCAUUAUUAUUGAAAUGCAAAUGUUGUCUCAACUAAACCAAAUUCUUAAAGUACUAUACCUUCCCAAAUGUAUAAUUUACUAACUGGAGUCUUAAAGAAUUGAUUCAAAUGCAUACUAACUGCACUAAGAAGGAACAAUGUUCAAUGACUGGCUGCACAUUACUUUCCCUUUCUUCAUGAUAUACUUGAAGUUUGUCUUGCAUAAAGUAACAAGUAUCUAUUCAAAAAUUUAUUACAUGGAAUUAUAAUGAACUAACAUCAGAAACCCGAAGCUGUGCAACACUGACCAUCCUUUGGAUAAUAAUAAUAAAUAGAACAUAUUUUCCAUCCUUGCAUUGGUAAGGCUAAAACACAUAUACCAGACAAAAAAUUAAUAGUCCUUGAAAUGUGCCAACUAAAAUGAAAUACCGGAUCCACAUGCCCUGAUGUUCUCUGCCCAAUCAUGCAAUGUUCAAACUUACAGAAUUUGUGAGAUAUAUAUCUGUCAACACUCACUAUGCAAUCUAAGUGAAAAUGCAAGCCUUAACCUAUGCUGAAUAUAGAUCAGGAAUCUAAAGUGAUCUGUCACAAGUGAAUAUUGGAUGAAAUAAAAUAAGCAGAGGAUGCCAUAGAGGAGGAAGGCUGAAGUUCAUUGGUGUUGCAGUGGUCGCAGUACAGGUCGGCCACCACCGUAGCGCGGUAGAGUAGGUCACCACAGGAUGCACGGCCACGCCGGGGAGGCGGCAGAGGAGGUUGGGGUUGCCGCCGUCCAGCCCAACGCGCACAAGCGCACCGAGCUAGGGGACGCAAUACAGGAGGUGGAGAGGCGCGAUGGGGCGCGCUGUCCAACGGAGAACAGCCACCGGAGACGCCCCGGCGAUGGACAUGGUGCCAUAACCAAAACCCUAGCCAUGGGCUAGGGGUCGUGGGCGGGCGCCGAAGACAGGUAGUGGCAGAUCCAACUGGACUGGAGGAGGGCGGGGUUGGAGAAUAGCUCGUCUGUGUGCUAUGCGGUGGCGGACGUCGCCGCAAUCGAUGGGUGUUGGUCGCGGCGCGAGGGGUGGAGAGUUAGGUUGCCAGAGUGGUGGAUGGGUGGGGGAUGCGAAGGAUCUAACAUCUGCUGGAGGUGCGAGGUGAGAGGAAGGAGGGGGAGGGCCGGCGGCGAGCUGUGGGUGGAGGGAUGGGAAGAUCUGGUGAGUGGCGGCGAUGGGGAAUCGGGAGGGGCUGGGUGGAGGAGGAAGAGAGGAGGGGGCCGAGGAGGAGUGUGUUAGGGUUAGCCUUUUAUAUGCGGGACGGUUGGGCGGGCUUUAGCGGGCUUUAGACGGGCUUGCGGGGCUGGACCAGACCAUCCAUGACUGUUUUUGAAAUUGUCAUCGCAAAUCCGUCACGAAUUAACAAGUUUCUUGUAGUGAGAGGUUGGAGGAUAUCAUCUCAGGGAUGGAAGCGUACAACGCCCUCACACAUAUAGCAGUGGUUUGGUGCCACGGCCUCAUACCCUUGUUGACUGUCUAUCUUUGUCCAAUACUGUCCGAGGAAUUACGCCAUUUCAUUGACAUUUAGCAGGCAUGGAUAUGCAAUAUGUACCCUUUUAACCCAUUUGGUUUAGUUAGUGUUUGAGUGCAUGUAUCUAGCUAGAGUUAUGUAUGGUUGUAGUGACACUGUGGGAUUUUGGGAAGAUACUUAGUUGAAAGACAAAACCUCCUUUUGCACUUUACCAUAAUCAUACAACAUCUGUAAGGGAAUCAAUUUUCAUGUAAGCAACUCUUUCCGACACCUUAUUAUUGG